rnacentral:lncRNA from 1 species
AUAACGAGAUGAUAAUAUAUGCAACGAUAGUGCUUCCAAAGAACAUGACCACAGUGAGCCACGUGUGGCAAGAAGGUCCUGUACGUGGUGACAAUCACCUCGACAUGCAUCCUCUAGGAGGCGACAAUGUCAAAUCAAUGGGUACUUUGGACCUUCUUUCCGGGAAAGUUACGACUACCAAAGGAGGAACCUCGGGUACUCUUCACUUCAAGCAGGUUCAUGGAAUCAUAAACGCGGUUAGUUGGGGCUUCUUGAUGCCAGUGGGUGCUAUUACUGCCAGGUACAUGAAGGUCUUCCAAUCAGCUGAUCCCGCUUGGUUUUAUGCUCACAUCAUAUGCCAAUCCUCGGCUUACUUACUUGGUAUUGCCGGAGCGGGGACAGGAAUUUAUCUUGGCAACAAAUCUCAUGGCAUUCAACAUUCCACUCACAGGACUAUUGGGAUACUACUUCUCGUUCUUGGCUUCAUUCAGGUUUUUGCGUUGAAACUGAGACCAAAGAAGGAGCACAAGUACAGAAUUUGGUGGAAUUUUUACCACCAUUCUGUCGGAUACGCCAUCAUAAUAUUAAGCAUCUUCAACAUCUUCGAGGGUUUUAAUAUUUUGAACCCUUUGAAGAUUUGGCGCUUGGUUUAUGCUUGUACUCUUAUUGCAUUGGGAGCCAUUGCCGCUAUUUUGGAAGUAGUAACUUGUGUCAUUGUAAUAAGGCAGCGGAGAAAGAUUGAGAAUCCUGAAACCAAUGUCAGAGCAGCAGCAUGAAGUUUUAGCGUUGUAGUAUAUAGAUUAAGAUUUACUGAUUUUUUCUGCAAUUUUGUUUAAAUUUUCCCACAUCAAUUAGCGAAAUAAAAGCAUUAUUAAUAUUUUUUGGUACAAAUUAAUUUGUACAUAAUUGCAUGUAACAUUAGCUCGUAUAUUACGACUAGCAUACAUGUUGAUUUUUUUUUAAAUGUCGGGUAAUCAAUUAGAAGAGGCACAUUAGAUUAUACUGUUUGUCUUAGCUAAUUACAUGAAUGUUUACUUUGACUAAUACUAGUUCCAUAGGACGAGGAAUUUUUUAAGGGGAUAGAUCUUUCUCAAUGGAAGCUAUCGUAUGAGGUUUAGUAAAUGUUUAAAUGUCCUUGAAAUACGUAAUUGCGGAGAGUAAUCUCUAAAUUAAUUAAACUUCUUAACAAUAUUCUUCUCAAAUUCAAAAGUUGGAAAUUAUACAAUAACAUGUGUUUGUAAUUGGUACAAUAUAUUUUCUUUCAUUUUUUUAACAACUAAUCAAAUACAAAUCUCCUUGAUAAGUCAUCUCUUACAUCUUGCUCUUGUUUUCUUUUAACUUCUAUAUGCUUUUCAAUUUUUUUCAUUCCCAUGCUUCGACGGAAGCAAUUAGCAUCCUGUACUCUUUAUACUAUUCUCAAGUCAAAUUGCAUUUGUAAAUUGUAAUGUUUGGACUGAUUAAUUGAGAAACAUUUAUCACAAACAUAUUGCCCAACUUGCUUCCGAAAUUUCUUUCGACCUUAACCACCACUCUUCCUUGAUCAUUGUUGUUUCCAGUGGCGGAGCCACCGAAGGCCCAAAGUGGACAGCUACCUCUCUGCAUCUAUUUUUUUUUUAAUUCAUUUUUUAAACCCACUCAUUUUUUGGCCAAGUCAUGGGGCUGAUAGCGGCGGCAAAGAGCAUCGUUGCAAGGUUGGCAUUGCUACCAAUGUAGCUAGAAUUUUCAGGGGUUGGAGCCGUCAUGGUUUUGGAUUGCCGGUGACCAUGGGACUGUUCACGGACAUCUUGAGAAGGUCGGAGCAGAUAUGGUGGCAGAUCGAGAGCUCGAAGGCUGACUCAUUUUGUUGUUAUUAGUCAAUCUGGUCACGUAUGACUUAGGGAGUGACAAAUCAGAGUUGGGGAGAACUUGAGAUUGUUGAAGAGGAUGCAGCAGUGCCGAUCUAUUUGGAUGCGAGAACCGUGAGUUUGGGUUGUUAUUUGGCUGCGUUGGUGAUGUUUUUGAUGACAGGGCUAUAUUAAGAUGAGUAUGGGAUGGUGACAGAGGAUUAAAAAUGAUUUUAGAAGCAGCCAAGGUGGUGGCAGCUGCGGCAGAAUUGAUGGAGGGAGAAUACCGAUAGUUUGUUUUGCUUUUUUGGGUUUGGUGCGCCUGAGUUUGAUUUUGCCGGAUAGAGAAUUGGUCGCUGGCAAAUUGGGGAGGUUCCGGUGGCUGUUGAUCAUCACUAACAGCCGCCGAUGAAGCCAUAGCGGCUGAUCAAAGGUUCGUUCAAUCAUAAUGAUGGUGGUGGUCACUGUUUUGGGUUUCGCUCUAUAAAGUUUUUCAAGAAUUAAUCAGUAGCGGCUCCUGCUUGGAUCAAAUAUGUUGCAGCUAUAUUCAAGAAUUAAUCAGUUCGAUCCUGCAUGGGGGCAAUUUCAGAGUUUAUUGUUCAACCUCUUGUAAUCAUAUAUCAUAUGCAAUUAUUUUUAAUUAAUUAGUAUUACAACAAUAUAAAUUUUUUGCGAUGGUUCAUUCGAUCUAUUUUCAGUAGCAUUUAGAUUAAUUCAUAUUAAUCCGAUAUAAUCAUCUGAUCCGAAUCUGAUCCGAACUUAAUUGGAUUAGAUUUAAUUUCGGAUUAUAUCCAAAUAGUUUUUAUCCCAAUACAAACAAUCUGAAAUCCGAUCGGAUUGAUCCGAAUCCAUUUUUACCCACCCCAAACUACUGUUAUUGCCAGAAGGUGGAUGCCCCCAAUUUAUUGUUUGUCUCUUCGGAGACAUCCGAUAAAAUUGGAACGAUACCGAGAAGAUUAGCAUGGCCCUGUGCAAGGAUGACAUGCACAAAUUGAGGAAUACAACUUUAUCGUUGAUCUGAAAAAAAAAAUUGAUUAAUAUUUAUGAGUAAUCUAAAUAGUAAUAAGGUAAAAGGAAGAGGCCCAAGGCGUGGGAAGAGUGCUUUUCAAGUAGUUUUAUUUUGUUAGCUACUUGAAUUCAAAUCCUAAGGCAGCAAGAAACAACAAUGUUGUAAACUUUGUCUAUUCCUCAACCUCUGAAGAAAAAAAAGCUAAAAAAAGAAGGAUGAUUUAUUAUGAAAAUAAUCAUUUUCAUCAGUCCAUGUUCUAUUUAAAAAGAAAAAAUUUGGAUAAAUACCAUAUUUUCUAUUCAAAUAAAAAUGUCUAACAUAAAUGUUAAAAAAAUAACCGCCCCAACCCCCACAGAUCCUCCAUAUAAAACAACAAUUUGAUUCAUAUUUUGGAGAAGGUGAAGGAGAAACUAAUGUGUGCUAAUAAAUAUUGCCUUGAAAUUGUUAUUCAAAUCAAUUUAUAACUCUAAAAUAGUUUUAUUAUUUGAAUCCUUAACACUCACCUAUCUUAGAUACAAGCAAAACAUCAUAGUAUUUGAUAUUUUACCAGAACAAAUAUAAAUGGUUUAUAAAGUAGAAAAUAAUAAAUGAGUGAAAGUAAUUUUUGAAAAAUAUAUAAAAAAUAAUUCAUACUUGAGACAAAAAAUAUAUAAAAAAUAAUAUUGGUCCCUAGUUUGUCAGAUUAUGUCUAGAGCCGUCCAAUUUGUAUAAUAAGGUAACACAAUUUACCACGACCCCAGUGUUAAAAAAAGAAAAAAAAAUCUGAAACCGACCAUGUAUAGAGUCAUUAAUCUCCCAUAGACUUCAGCAAAUUUUAUCAUAAAUCAUCAAUUAUGUUAAUAAAUAAGAUAUCAUCUCAACAUUAAUCGUAAAAAGUAGUGGAUACUAUGAUGGUUCAUAUUUCAUAGUUUUCUUAUGUUUUAUCGAUCAUAAUGUCAUAAAUUCACUAUAAGUCUGUAGGGUCUAUCUCACUUCGGUGGACUAAAAUGCCCAAAAAGUCCAAAAUAAUUUACUUGGUGUGUAAUUAUUGUAAAAUUUUACAUUUGGAUGAAAUUAACCAAAAAAUAUAUAAAGGAAAUAAGUGAAGAAUCGCGAGAGCUGUAGGCAUUUCACGAAUUGAGGAGGCAUUACGAGAGAGAAAGAUUUCUUUGGGGUUUCAAUCUUUGAUUCAACGAUCGGAAGGUGAUUUUAGCUCCGAUUCAUCCCAAAUUUGGAGGAUAAGUACUUGACAUCGCCCUCUACAUUUCCACUGGUGUUGAUCUAUAUUUUAUUAUCUCUAUAGCUGUUGUUUGAGAUACCCACUUAUUGGAGAAAUAAAUUUUAGAUCUAUUAUUGUAAGCCAACAUUGUUGAGAAUUUUGAUGUUGUUAUCCUCUAGUGUUGAUAGAAAACUAAAGUAAUAGUGUUUGGCAGUCGAGAAAGCUAAAGAAAAUAAGAGAAAGAGAAAGAGAUUUUCAUUAUAGAAAAUUUCAGAAUAUACUCAAUCAUACGUUGUGAAUGCAGCUUACACCCACUUAUAUAUUCAAGCAUAGGUGUGCUUGUUACAAUUCGUUAGCCAAGUUAUUAUAGACACGUGAGAGCUAAUACUAAUAACUAACUAAUCCACGUCAACUUAAGUGAGCUGAUUAGCUACUGUCAAGCACAUGAUAACAAUAUGAAUACGACUGCUCUGCUUCUUCUCAUUUAAUCAGCUUUACUAACAUCCCCUCUUGAACUGGAUUUCUCUUUUUGUCAUGUCUACUCUGAUCUUUCUCAUUUCACCUCAUUUGACUAGCUUUGCUAACAUCCCCUCCUGAACUAGAGUCUCAUCACUUCUUUUCCUCUUCUUGUCUUACUUCAUCAAUGUCACUGACUUCCCUUCUGAAACUGGAGCAUCUAGGAUGAACAUUUAACUUACUGCGCAAGUAAUGAAAUUGAGCAAAAGUAAGAGCCUUGGUCAACACAUCUGCUGUUUGAUCUUCACUGGGCACAUAACACACUGUGAUUUCUUUUGAAGCAACUAUGUCUCUGAUAAAAUGAAUAUCCAGCUCUACAUGCUUUGUUUUUGCAUGAUACACUGGAUUGUAGGCUAAAGCAAUUGCACCUUGGUUGUCACACCACAUAACUGGGGUUGUGCUCAGCUUGAUUUGAAUUUCAGCAAGUAAAGAUUGAAUCCUGAAAUUGCCACUGAGAAAGCAUGGUUGUUUUGAACCUAGCAAACCAAGCUCGUGGAGCCUGCUUCAAGCCAUAUAAUGCUCUCUUUAACUUGCAAAUGUGUUGUGGUUUAUGAGAAUUGAUAAACCCCUCAGGUUGUGCCAUAUAAACUUCUUCAUCUAGAAUGCCAUUUAAAAACGCAUUGUUCACAUCUACUUGUCGAAGCACCCAAUUAUUCAUAACUGCAAUGCUUAAAACAACCCUGACAGUAGAAGCUUUAACCACUGGACUAAAGGUUUCAGUAUAAUCAACACCAUGAAUCUGAUGAAAACCUUUAGCCACCAGCUUUGCUUUGUACUUUAAAAUAGAGCCAUUAGGAUUAUAUUUUAUCCUAAAGAUCCAUUUAUUGCCAACAACCUUAACAGGAGCAGUAGGUAACACCAAUUCCCAUGUAUGAUUAGCUUGCAAAGCUCGGAACUCUUCUUGCAUAGCCUUGAACCAUAAUGGAUCAGAUAAAGCUUGAGUGACAGAAUAAGGUUCAGAAGGUUGAGCUAAAAGGGCAGUGAGAUAAGACUUGGGUUUGAAGAUACCAAGCUUAGAUCUAGUUAGCAUAGGAUGACCCAUAGGAGGUGGUGCAGGGAGAAUAUGUGGUGGGUUAUCAUUUAAGGAAGAGAAAGAGUGCUGUUGAGAAAGGGAUGUAUCAUUUUGAUUAGGUAAAUUAUUUGAAGUUGAGGGCAAAGAAAAAGAGGGAGAUGAUACCUGAGGUUGAGAAGUAGUUGAUACUGGAGCUGCUGAAUCAAAUGCUGAAGUUGUUGCUAAAGGAGCUGGAAUUCGAAUAACAGAAGAAGAACACUCAGAGACUGUUUGAGAAGACACUGGUACGGAAGAGAAAUCAAUACCAGAAACAUAAGGAAAAUACUUCUCAUCAAAGAUCACAUGAUUAGAAAUGUAGACUCUUCCAGAUGAUUGAAGACACUGGUAACCCUUAUGACUGGAGCUGUACCCAAUGAAAAUACAUUUGCCAGACCUGAACUCAAACUUGUGUCUAUUAUAAGGUCUUAGAUAUGGAAAACAGGCACAACCAAAAAUUCUAAGACUAGAAUAAUCUGGUUUCUGAUUGAAGAGCUUUUGAUAGGGUGAGAUGUUGUUUAGAACUGGUGUGGGAAGUCUAUUUAUCAGAAAAACAGUAGUGUGGAAUGCAUUCCACCAGAAUUUGAGAGGGAGAUGUGCUUGGGCAAGUAAGGUAAGUCCAAUAUCAACAAUAUGUUUGUGUUUCCUUUCAAUCAUCCCAUUUUGGUGAUGAAUAUAUGGACAAUGAUGCCUAAAUUGUAUCCCUGAAUUAUUGAGGAAGGAAGAAAAUGAUCUAAAUUCCCCACCCCAAUUGGUUUGAAUGACUUUGAUUCUCUUGUGUAGGUGUUGUUCAAUAAAAGUUUUAAAUUUGAUAAACAAUGGGAGUGCAUCAGACUUAGAAUUAAGGGGAAAUAUCCAAGUAAACCUACUAAAAUCAUCUAAAAUGGAUAGAUAGUAAGCAAAACCUUGGGUUGAAUUAACAUGAGAGGGUCCCCAAAGGUCUGCAAAAAUCAAUUGCAAAGGUUCUGUAGAUCUAGACUGAACAGAGUUAAAAUGAAGCAUAUGAUUCUUACCAAAUUGGCAAGCAUCACAGAAGUCUAAAUUUUGAAUUUUAUUAACACCAACAAAAUUAUUACAAGAGUUCAAGACUGUUUUCAAAACAUGAAUGGCAGGGUGCCCCAAUCUUCUAUGAAGAAGAUUUACAUCAACAGCUUUUGUAUUAACAACAGACAUAUAAGACUCUUUAUUUUCCUGUGAAAAUUUUGAGCUAGACAUUUCACAGGCUGAAUAUGGAAGACAAGCAAACAAAGACUGAAGUUUAUUGUGACCAAGAUAGACUGAAUUGACAGCAACAGACUGAGAAUUUGAAGUAGGACUUUGAACUUUAUAGAGACCUCCUUUAGCAACACCUUCAAGCAAUACGAUCCCUGUGCUCCUGGCCUUAAUGAGACAAGAAAGGCCAACAAAUUCAAUUGUAACAUUAUUAUCCGCAAGUAAUUUUGAAACACUGAGUAAGUUUUUGGUGAUUUUAGGCACAUGUAAUACAUGAUUAAGGGUUAAUAACAGAAGAGUGUUUGUAGCAAGCUUAACUGAUCCAACAUGUUCAAUAAGCAAUGCAUUACCAUUACCAACAAAUAGUUGUUCAGUUCCAACAUAAGCUUUAGGAUUAGCAAGCUUACCUAGAUCAUUCGUGAUAUGAUUAGUUGCUCCACUGUCAAUAUACCAGGAAGGAUCUUCAAUGAUCUCAGGAUUUACAGCACAAGUAGCUUGAGCUUGAGCUGGUGGUGCUGAAGUAUUAGGCAGUCCAUUAGUGACAUUCCCAGGAAAAUAUGGAGAAACACCAUAAGUGAAACCAGGAGUAAAAGUGUUAUAGGGAUUAAAAGGUGUGUAGCCUGAUAUGAAACCAGGAUCUGAGUAAGCCAUAUUGGCUUGAAAAGCUGCUCCUCCUCUUGGCAUAUAAGGAUUCACAAAAUUUUGUCCAGGAAACAUUAAACCUCUGCCAAAACCAUUGAAUGACCUGCCUCUGCCAUAUUGACCUCUGAAAUUUCCUCUGCCAAAAUUCUUUUGAGGAACAAAUGAAGGAUUAAAAUUGUUUCUGCAUUUGUUUGCUCCAUGUCCAGGAAUGAAGCAGAUUUGACACAAAAUAUCUGAAGAGUUUCUAGCACCAGCAAACUGAGGAAUAUUGUUGUUCUGAAAACCACUGUUAUCAUUUCCAAAACUACCUCCAGUGUUUUUUUGAUAACCAUUAUUAUUUUGGCCAGAAUAUUGACCUUUCUGAGCAACAUUUGCAGACAUAUGAUGCAUGACUUCACUAACAAGUUUCCCUUUCUUUUGUUCAAUUCUAUUUUCAUGAUUAAGAAGCAGAGAAUACAAAUCAUCUAGAGUAAUAGUUCCUUCCCUUGCUAGAACUGCAGUUAUCAAAGAUUCAUAAUCUGAGGAGUCAAGACCAUUCAGCACAUGCAUAACAAAAUCAUUAAGCUCAAUUGGUUUCCUUGCUAAGGCUAAGGUAUCUGCUACACGUUUUAUCUUAGCAAAAUAAUCAGCCAUACUCAUAGAUCCUUUCUUAACAGUUUGAAUUUGCAUUCUAAGAGUUUGAAUUCUAGCUUGUGAUUGAGAAACGAACAUACUGCUAAGUGCUUCCCACAGUUGUUUUGAAGUUGUACAGUCAAUUACCGUAGACAGUAGACUUUGCUGAAUAGAGGACAUCAUCCAACUCAAGAGGAGUUGAUCUGUUUUCAUCCAAGCAAUGAACUCUGGAUUUACAGAUCUGGACUCACUAACAUCUAAUCCUGAAGCUUCUUCAGUGUUGAAGGAUGAAAGAAACUUCUCCGGACACUUUCGAUCACCAUUAACGAAACCUUCAAGACCAUUCCCUUUGAUCGAUGUCAAGAUUUGAGUCCUCCACAAAAUGAAAUUGUUUUGAUCCAGCUUAACUGGUGUAAUGAAGCUAAAAGAAGCAGUGGAUUGUGUAAUAUUUGCCAUUGUUUGCUCUGAUACCAUGAUAGAAAACUAAAGUAAUAGUGUUUGGCAGUCGAGAAAGCUAAAGAAAAUAAGAGAAAGAGAAAGAGAUUUUCAUUAUAGAAAAUUUCAGAAUAUACUCAAUCAUACGUUGUGAAUGCAGCUUACACCCACUUAUAUAUUCAAGCAUAGUUGUGCUUGUUACAAUUCGUUAGCCAAGUUGUUAUAGACACGUGAGAGCUAAUACUAAUAACUAACUAAUCCACGUCAGCUUAAGUGAGCUGAUUAGCUACUGUCAAGCACAUGAUAACAAUAUGAAUACGACUGCUCUGUUUCUUCUCAUUUAAUCAGCUUUACUAACAAGUGUUAUCUGGAGAAGAAUUUGUGCUGUAAUCCCAUUAAGAUAGUGAAAGUUUAUAUCAGACUACGGUCUCGUGAUUUUUCCCGAUUUGGAUUUUUCAUGUAAAAAUCGGUGUCUCUUAUGGUUGGUUUUUGCUUUGGGUUUAUUAGUUUAUUUUUCUGCAUAUUUAUUUGUGGUGCACAUCCUAUUUUAAUCACACAAAGAGGGAAAAAGUUUUUGUUUCCGCUUAAUUUAUAGCUGUUUGUGGUAGUCCCUUUCCCAACAGAGUGGUAUCAGAGCGAGGUUGUGUGUUUUAUUACUUGUGUGAUUGAGAUGGAUGAGUCUUCGGUGUUCAUGAUCAAAUUGAAGUCGUGGAAUUAUGGUAUUUGGAAAUCUAGAAUGGAAGAUUUGGUCUACAUGAAAGACUUACAUGAACCUAUUGAAGGUGACGAAGUUAAACCUGCUGAUAUAGAUGAUAAUAAAUGGGCUCAAUUGAACCAGAAGGCCAUGGGUACUAUUAGGUCAUGGAUUGAUCAGAGUGUGUACCACCAUCUCGCGAAGGAAUCCAAAGAUGAUGUUCUUUGGAGAAAAUUAGAGACAAUUUAUGAGCAGCCGACAACACAAAAUAAAGUUAAUCUGAUGAAAAGGCUUGUUAAUUUGAAAUAUAAGGAAGGCCGCAGUACAACUGAACACACUAGUGAGUUUCAAGGCUUAGUUGAUCAGUUGACUACUAUGAAGAUCAUUUUAUAUGAUGAGUUACAAGCACUGUUUUUGCUUAGUUCUUUACUUGACAGUUGAGAGACAUUAGUGGUGUCAGUGAAUAAUUUAGCACUAAAUGGUAAAUUAACCUCGGAUAUGGUUACAGAUAGACUGCGGAAUGAAGAAUCUCGAAGAAAGAAUGCUGAAGUAGUUCCCUCAGAGUCAACUGCACUUAUUUCAGAGAACCAAGAAAGACGAGGGAGGAGUCAAAGUAGAAAUUUCCAUCAGCAGAAUAAUGAUAACACUAGAGGAAGAUCUAAAUCCCAAAGGAGAAACAUGAAGUGCUUUCACUGUCAGAAAAUGGGUCACGUUAAAAGGGAGUGUAGAUUGUGGAAAAGAGAACAGGCGAAAGAAAAAGGCGAUAGUUAUAAAAAUGACAAAGAGAAUAUUGCAGUCGUAGUUGAUGGUGAUAUGGGUAUUGUUUAUGAUGAUAGCUCUAUAAAUCUCACUUGCCAUACCAGUGAUUGUGUGAUUGAUUCAGGUGCUUUCGUUCAUAUUACUGCACAUCGUGAUUACUUUACAUCCUAUAUUAAUGGUGAUUAUGGCCAUGUACGAAUGGGAAAUUAAGGGGCAUCCAAGAUUGUAGGCAUUGGAGAUAUUUGCUUGGAAACCAGUGUUGGUUGUAAGUUACUCCUUAAAUAUGUCAGACAUGUACUAGAUAUUUGCCUUAAUUUGAUCUCCACAGGAAAACUUAAUGAUGAUGGUUAUACUAACCAAUUUGGUUAAGGAAAAUGGAAGCUCACCAAAAGCUCUUUAGUGUUGGCUAAAGGAAAGAAAAUGAACACUCUCUACGUAAUAGAAGCCAAUACCAAGAAAGAAGAUGUGAAUGUAGCUGUAAAAGAUCCUGACAUUGAAACAUGGCAUAAAAGACUUGGUCACAUCGGUGAGAAAGAGUUAGAAACUCUUGCCAGAAAAGGAUUUCUACCAAGUUUUGCAGGUACGUGCCUCAAGACUUGUAUUCAUUGUUUAGCUGGAAAGACACAUAGAGUAGCUUUUAAAAGUUAUUCUCCAUCUAGAAAGUCGCAAAUCCUUGAUUUGAUUCUCACUGAUGUUUGCAUAAUGCAAAGUAGAUCAAUAGGAGGUGCACUUUACUUUGUGACUUUUAUUGAUGAUUGUUCUAGAAAAGUGUGAGCUUUUGCUUUGAAAUCUAAAGACCAGGUGCUUGAUAUGUUUAAGUUCUUCCAUGCUUAAGUUGAGAGAGGGACAUGAAGAAAAUUAAAAUGUGUCAGGGCAGGUAAUUAUGGUGAGUACAGAGGACCAUUUAAGCAGUAUUACAGAUCCCAUGGAAUCAGACUUGAGAAGACCGUACCAAAAACCCCUCAGUAGAAUGGUGUUGCAGAAAGGAUGAAUAGGACAAUUGAAGAAAAGAUCAUGUGUAUGCUUUCUGAUGCCAAGCUUCUUAAAUCAUUCUGGGCAGAGGCUAUAUGUACUGCAGUUGACUUGAUUAACCUGUCUCAUUUAGCUCCAUUAGACAGUGAUGUACCUGAGAGAGUUUGGAUUGGGAAAGAUGUUUUUUAUAAACACUUGAGAAUGUUUGGGUGCUGAGCAUAUGUUCACAUCCCUAAAGAUGAGAGAUCGAAACUUGAUGAUAAAGCCAAGGAAUGUAUUUUCUUAGGCUAUAGGCAUGAAAAAUUUGGGUAUAGAUUAUGGGAUCCAGUAGCAAGAAAACUAAUCAGAAGUAGAGAUGUAUUUCUUGAAGAUUAGAUAUUUGGUGAUGAAGAGAAAAACGAUGAGUCUCAAACAUCUCCAAAGAUUCCUAUUAUUCCAACUUCAGUUUCUCCACCUGUUAUUCAUAAUGAUCAUGGGGAGCUGGAGAGGAUAAUGAUGAUGGUCCAGCAGAACCAGUUGAGCUAGCACUUUCAAAACCACCAGCACCACCAGUUGAGCCAGAAUUGAGAAGAUCCACUAGAGAACGACGACCUUCCACCAGAUAUCCUCCACAUGAGUAUGUGAUGCUUACAGACGGAGGAGAGCCAGAAUGUUUGAGAAGUUAUGUCUCAUCACAUAAAAUGAGUGGGUUAAAGCAUGCAAGAAGAUAUGAGAACCUGAAUGAGAACCACAUUUAUGACUUAGUGAAGCUGCCUAAGUGAAUGCGAGCACUGAAGAACAAAUGAGUUUACAGGUUGAAAACUGAAAAUAACUCACAACAGCGGUACAAGGCUAGAUUGGUUGUGAAGGGUUUCAGUCAGAAGAAAGGUGCUGAUUUUCUCCUGUAGUGAAGAUGUGUUCUAUCCGAGUAGUUCUGGGAUUAGCAGCUAGCUUGGAUUUGGAGAUUGAACAACUUGACGUAAAGACAACUUUCUUGUAUGGUGACUUAGAUGAGGAAAUAUACAUGGAGCAACCUGAAGGAUUCAGUGUCAAAGGCAAAGAAGAAAUUGUGUGCAAAUUGAAGAAAAAUUUGUAUGGGUUGAAACAGGCACCAAGAUAGUGGUAUAAGAAAUUUGAUUCUUUUAUGGAGAAUCAUGGUUUCAGUAAGAUUAUGUUUGAUCAUUGUGUUUUUGUGAAAAAGUUUGGUGAUAAUGAUUUUAUUAUUCUUUUGCUUUAUGUGGAUGACAUGUUGAUUAUUGGCAAGGAUGUUAGUAAGAUUGACAAUCUGAAGAGAGAGCUUAGCAAGUCUUUUGCAAUGAAGGACUUGGGAUCAGCAAACAGAUUCUUGGCAUGAAGAUUUCUCGUGACAGAAAAACUGGGAAGUUAUGGUUAUCUCAAGAAGCAUAUGUUGAAAAGGUUCUUGAAAGAUUUAAUAUGAAUAAGACAAAAUAUGUUUGUUCUCCACUUGCAAGCCAUUUCAAACUUAGUUCCGAGCAUUGUUCUACAAGUGAGAAAGAGAAACAAGAGAUGAGAGGAGUUCCUUAUGCUUCAGCAGUUGGUAGUUUGAUGUACGCUAUGGUUUGUACAAGACCAGAUAUUGUACAUGCAGUUGGUGUAGUCAGCCCGUUUCUCUCCAAUCCAAGCAAAAAACAUUGGACAACAGUAAAGUUGAUUCUCAGAUAUCUCAGAGGCACUUCCAAGGUAUGUUUAUGUUUUGGUGGUGAUAAACCUGUGUUACAAGUGUACACGGAUAUAGAUAUGGCAUGAGAUGUUGAUUCCAGAAAAUCCCUAUCAGGAUAUUUGCUCAUCUUUGCAGGGGGAGUAGUUUCAUGGCAGUCUAGACUUCAGCAGUGUGCUUCUUUGUCUACCACAGAAGUAGAGUAUAUUGCAAUCACCGAGAGUUGCAAAGAAACCUUGUGGAUGAAGAAUUUCCUAUAAGAGUUGGGUGUUAAACAAGACAGCUACGUUGUGUAUUGUGACAGUCAAAGUGUCAUUCACUUGGCGAAGAAUUCAACAUAUCAUUCGAAGUCAAAGCAUAUUGAUGUGAGAUAUCAUUGGAUAUGAGACGUGCUUGAGUAAAAACAAUUGCAGCUUGAGGAAAUUCACACAUCAAAGAAUGCAUCAAAUAUGAUGACAAAAUCAUUACCUAAGGAGAAGCUGGAAAGUUGUAAGCAGAGAGCAGGUCUGGUGGUGUCCCUUAGAUGAGAUGAAGGGGGAGAUUUGUAGGGUCCAUCUCAUUUCGAUGGACCAAAAUGCCUAAAGUCCAAAAUAAUUUACUUGAUGUGUAAUUAUUGUAAAAUUUUGGACAUGGAUGAAAUUAAGUAGAAAGUAUAUAAAGGAAAUAAGUGAAGAAUUGCGAGAGCUGUAGGCAUUUCGCGAAUUGAGGAGGCGCUACUAGAGAGAAAGAUUUCUUUGGGGUUUCAAUCUUUGAUUCAACGAUCGCAAGGUGAUUUUAGCUCCGAUUCAUCCCAAAUUUGGAGGGUAAGUUCUUGACAUCGUCCUCUACAUUUCUACUGGUGUUGAUCUGUAUUUUAUUCUCUCUAUAGUUGUUGUUUGAGAUACCCACUUAUUGAAGAAAUAGAUUUUAGAUCUAUUAUUGUAAGCCAAGAUUGUUGAGAAUUUUGAUGUUGUUAUCCUCUAGUGUUAUCUAGAGAAGUCUUUGUGCUGUAAUCCCAUUUAGAUAGUGGAAGUUUAUAUCGGAUUACGGUCCCGUGAUUUUUCCCGAUUUAGGUUUUCCACGUAAAAAUCGGUGUCUCUUGUAGUUGAUUUUUACUUUGAGUUUAUUGGUUUAUUUUUUUGCAUAUUUAUUUGUGGUGCACAUCCUAUUUUAAUCAAAGAAAGAGGGAAAACUUUUUUGUUUAUGCUUAAUUUAUAGCUGUUUGUGGUAGUCCCUUUCCCAACAAAGUCAAUAAAUAAAACAUACUUUAUAUGUAAAUGGUGUAAUCAACAUGUGAGAUCAGGAGGUCACAAUUUUCAAUUACUUUUAAAUUUAAAUGCCUAAUACUUCAAUUACACAAUCCAUUCUCAUUUUCUUUCAAUAAUAAAAAACAAAGUACUGAGUUCAAAGCACCUUUUGUCAAUGUCUAUGUACCCAAAGAAGUGUGAUUAAAAAUUUAGGACGUGUUCAGAUUCUGCGAGGCUUGUUCUGAAGAAAUGGAUGAUUUGGAGGAAAAAAGGAAAAAAAAAAAACAAUGACGACACAUGAUUAAAUGCUUUUAAACCGGAGAAUUACCAAUAUAUUUCAGGUUUAUUCUGGCAAAAUAUAUGCAUUAUAAAUUCAAGAAUGGAAAGUGUCAAGAUAAGAUUGCUUUUAUUAUCUAAUUAAUUCUAGCUAGCAAGCCCAUUUGCUUUUAAUUUCUUUGCAAUUUAACAGACAAUGAAUAUGGCUAGGUACACAAACAGAUGCGUAUGUGAGCACCAACUUGAAAUAAACCUCCUUUCAGUUUCACACAGCUGUCAUCUCUCUAUCCACAAAGGAAAGAGAAACAACAAAUGGAGACUCCAAAACAUUGUAUAUUUCCGACACCUCAGAAAACUUGCAAAAUUUAUAUAUUCGUCUAAUGAAAUGAGAUCCAUAAAUAAACAUUGUGUUUUUACUAGUUUAUAGUUGUUCAUGGAAAGUUCCAUUUAGUACAUCAAUCCAUCAAUAUUAAAUAAAUCAAAUCUAAUAUUUUCAACUGAUUUGGAAUAGCUAAAAUCCGCUUCCGAGCUCCACAUCAUAUAUAUCUUAGAUGGAGCUUAGGAGAAAAAAAUUAAAAUAUAAAAGUUAAUAGUAUGUAAUAAAUAAAAUAUUUAAAUAAUAUUUUUGAUAAAAUUAGUAAAGAUAUAAUAGAUUUUUAAUAAUCCAAGUGUAAAAUUAAAUUAACUUGUAAGUUAUAAUAAUUAUUGUUUACCAAUCACUUUAAUAAAGUAUUCUAACUUUUAAGCUAAAGGCCCAACCUCAAUAUUAACAAGAAAACAAAUUGUAUCAUCUAAUUAAUGUGCCUUUUCUAAUUGAGUACCAAACAUUUAACAAAUGAAUCACAUAUAUAUACUAGGCGUAAAACGAGAUAAUGUUACGUGCAAUGAUGCACAAAUUAAUUUGUAAAAAAUAUAAUAAUUCUUUUAUAUCGCUAAUUGAUGUGGGAAAAUUUAAACAAAAUUACAGAAAAAAAGCAGUAAAUCCUAAUCUACUACGUAUACUACUCUAAAACUUCAUGCUACUGCUGUGAUAUUGCUUGCAGGAUUCUCAAUCCUUCUCCGCCGCCUUAUGACAAUGACCCAAGUUACUACUUCCAAAAUAACGGCAAUGGCUCCCAAGACAAUAAGAACACAAGCAUACACCAAGCGCCAAAUCUUCAAAGGGUUCAAAAUAUUAAAACCCUCAAAGAUGUUGAAGAUGCUUAAUAUUAUGAUGGCGUAUCCAACAGAAUGGUGGUAAAAAUUCCACCAAAUUCUGUACUUGUGCUCCUUCUUUGGUCUCAGUUUCAACGCAAGAACCUGAAUGAAGCCAAGAACGAGAAGUAGUAUCCCAAUAGUCCUGUGAGUGGAAUGUUGAAUGCCAUGAGAUUUGUUGCCAAGGUAAAUUCCUGUCCCCGCUCCGGCAAUACCAAGUAAGUAAGCCGAGGAUUGGCAUAUGAUGUGAGCAUAAAACCAAGCGGGAUCAGCUGAUUGGAAGACCUUCAUGUACCUGGCAGUAAUAGCACCCACUGGCAUCAAGAAGCCCCAACUAGCCGCGUUUAUGAUUCCAUGAACCUGCUUGAAAUGAAGAGUACCCGAGGUUCCUCCUUUGGUAGUCGUAACUUUCCCGGAAAGAAGAUCCAAAGUACCCAUUGAUUUGACAUUGUCGCCUCCUAGAGAAUGCAUGCCGAGGUGAUUGUCACUACGUACAGGACCUUCUUGCCACACGUGGCUCACUGUGGUCAUGUUCUUUGGAAGCACUAUCGUUGCGUAUAUUAUCAUCACGUUAUUGGAAAAGUCUGCUGAAAUCUUGGGAACCUGAAAGCUCAAGUUUCCCUCUUGUAAUUCGGUGCCAUAACUCAUCACCGGCGAUGUGUAUGCCUUCAAGAUUCCGUUAGGGUUACGGUAGGCUACAAGAGAUUGAGAGCCGACCAUGCCUUUACCGGUAGGGUUUAUUGCCCACGCAAUCCAUCUGGUUGGUUGCAUGCCUACAUGACGAUAGGCCAAGUCGACAGAGCCGGUUGCUUCGUCGUAGCUCCAGUGGAGAAAAGAAUUUAAAGCUUGCAAAUCAACGCAUGCACCGUAUUUGUUGUUGUGGGUGGUGAAACGGUAAUUGGUACAUGUUUGAGUUGUUUGAGCGAAUGAAGAAGAUGAAGAAAGCAACAAAGUAAAAAGCGCAAUCAGAAAGAUUCUCUUCAUGGAUUUGUUUGGGGAGUUUAAAGACAGAAACUAAUUUUUAUUUUUAUAUAAGCAAUCUGUCUCUUGCUACUGCUAUGUAUUUAUAGAAGUAAACUAAAUAGGAAAUCUCAGUUCCUUGUGAACUUGAGUUUCCUGUUCGUAAUAGGAAUAACACCCAUAUAGAUUACGAAACCUCACUAGGAAUCCUUCUGUGUACAGGGAACUAGAAUAGGAAAUUUCAUCAAUAUAUAUAUGAUUUUGCAUGGGUUGUGGAGUAGGCGUGUUUCACGCGUCUAUAUUUCGCAGCGACACAAACAUGAAAAAAAAAAAUCGAUAAAUAUAUUCAUCAUAAUCUUGAACGAAAUUUGUGAGAUUGUUGAAUUUGUAUUACAAUUUUUUAAUACGUGGCUGAAUUGCAUCGAGACGAUUAAGACUAAUGCAGUUUCUUUUUAAUUUAUUCAUGUUUUUUCAGGACUGUCAUACUAUUUUUGGUUGUUGAGCCAAUCCAGGUCUGCAAUCCUUGGAGCGUACUUUUCGGAGAUUUUUGCUAUAUAUUCCAUCAUUAUAAUAAUCUGAUUGAUCAACAAUUUUACUUGUCUUUUAUGUCUCUAUUGACGGUUUAAGGCAAGGCUCACUUUGUCCCCAGAUUUAUUGUACUUUCAUUUUCAUUAUUGACAAUAUUCCUCCGCAAUGAGGCUCCAUUCAUAUAAAAAAUAUAUUAUAAAAUUUUAAAGAUUUCAAUUUUUGAGUGACAAGAAAAUUAGUUUUAAAUAAAAAAUGAAUAAGGGGUAAUUAUUAGGUUAUAUAGUGCUUACGAAUUAAUGUGGUACCAGGAAGGAAAUUUAAUGGUUUAUUUCUAGUUUUUCAGAGUCAAUACUCAAUACAACACUUUAGAGGUCAUUAUAUAUCACUUCACCUCUUAUUAUUUUCAUAAUAAUCAAUAAUCCUCCUAACAUCAUAGUUUUAUAGUAUUGCCCUUAUUUUUAAAUACAUUUUAUUCAUAUUUAUUAUAAAUUAAUAAAUAAUAUCAAUGUAAAUAAAAAUUAAGAAGUUUAAGUACUAGAAAUUUUUUUUAUGUAAAUAAAGAAUUAAUAAUUAAUAAGAUAUUUUUCUUAUACUUUUUGUCAUUUAAAAUUUUUUUUUCUUAUAGUAAAUUUAUAUUUUAUAUUUGUUCUUGCUCAUACUUGAUACAGGUAACAAUAAUCUCAAAUUAGACAAUUACUGCAUGAAAAGGAAAUGCAGAAUAAUUUUCAUCUUUUGGAUGAAAAAAUAGUUCCCAGAAAUAAAAUUAAUUCCAUUCAUAUUAGUCUAUUCACUCCUGAAAUUCUUCACUUGGAAAGAAAAACGAGAAAUACACUUGUAGUGGGUUCAAUUUUUGGUAUGAAAUGCAUUGCAAGUUUUGCGGUCUCUUUCAUUGAAAUCAAAUUUUCUUCAUUUGAAUAGCAGUAACAUAGAAACUCUCAACUGCUAAGCUGGGUUAGUUCUCUUGUUAGUCAAGCAUAACAAAUUAGCAACGGCAAAACAGCUCUCAGCUUUUGUUCUUUUGCUUCUCAUCAUAUGCUGGCCUUCUCCGCUUAAUAACAACACAAAAUUCCAGGUUAAUUUAUAACAACACAAAAUUCCAGUUAUAUAUGCAAAAUUUAUGCAAUGAUAGUUGAUGCCAAAUUUUGAGCUUGAAAUUUUUAGAGGUCUUGAAUAACUUGUAACAUUUGUAAUUCUCUGCAGAGAGGCAAUACCACCAGCUAAUGAAGGCGAACAGGGAUGGUUCUUUCACACUCUUGGCAGUGCUGCCCAAUUUAUACAGAAUUUUGACAUUUUAAGAAUCUGACUCUAUGUCAUGGAAUCAAGUCCGUUGAUUCUCUGUUAAAUUUCUUGAACGUGUUGAAAAAUUUAUGAUGGACAGGUUAGCCAAUUCGUGCUUGUCAGAGUGAGUGAGCCUAUAAGGCCUCAUAUAAUCCAAAACCAGGAGCAUGACAGGUUCAGUUUCCUGUCAGCAAAUAUUAACUUUUCGAGUUUUCUUUUCUAUAAAGUGCAUCAAAUCUUUAUACCUUUUUCAGGUGAACAAGGACAGACGCUGAAGGUAGACGGCAAGGCUUCGUGUUUUCAUUUCUAUCUAAUAAAUAACAUGGUGCGUCCAGAAACCUUCAACUGGAGAUGAACGGCCAAAUGCAUGCAUGCCGUUCUGCUGCGACAAAGUACACAUUGACUGUAGGAUUAUACAAGCCGGGGACCGUGUUAUGAGCCUAACAACAAUUACUCUCAUGCUUCAGUUGUCACAUAUCUCCACUACAGGGCCAAUAACAAGCUAACCCACACCUAUGAUUUCAUGAAGCGUGGUCUGAUUAUCUCUCAGGACCAACGUAAACUUGAAAAUUUCCCUUUUUGCCACUAAAUUAUUAUCUAUAAACUUACACUUUGAAUCUGCAUUAUCAAAACUAAGAACGUGAAGAUAUAAUAUACACGAUUGUCAUAUUUCAUUUUGCAGCUGUUGGAAAAUACAUAUAUGAACAUGCUAAUGAGGAGGAAAUCCUUUAGUGAUUUUUCAUAUUAAAUAAAAUUGGAUGAUUGAAAAGUAAAAUUUUACAUUGCUUAUGGCUAAUGAAUUGUAUGUGCUUCCGUAUGAAUUUAUGAAGAGCUUUCUAACUUGAAAUAAACAAACAUUGAUUCGUUGAUUUUAGCCGUGAUGAUGCCAUUAUGGAUUAGCAAGGGCAUCACAAUUUCAAAUUAAAACUUCUUUGAUGAGAUUGAGGACAAAACUGUCACAAGCACAUGGGAUGGGUUAUAUUCAGAUCCUAUUCAAGUUUCCGUCGGACCAGUCAUAAGAACUUGAGCAAAAAAUUUCAAAGAAAUGCUUAAUAGGUUUAUUCAAGCAACUUGGGCUCAAUUAAAUUCAUGGAAGCCCGUUGGAGGAAUCGCACACGAUAACUACAUGAUUCAGGCUCUUAAGGUUUUCAAAUAAUCACUUCCAUAAAAUAGAAAGUUGCUUACACAUUAUGGCGGGAAAAUAUAAUAUUUGCCUUUUUCGGAUACUUUCCCGAUUCUUGAGGAGGCUAGUGGAAAGACAAAUCAAUUAUUUCUCUUUUAAUUGUCGAGUUUCCAUUCUAAUUAAUAUAAGGCAUUUAAGGCGAUUAGGAUUUUGAUUUGAUUUAGAUUCUUUCUUAUUUGCUUAGAUUAUGAUUAUGAUUUGAUUUAGAUUUUUUCCUUAUUUGCUUUAGAUUAGAAUUCCGAUUUGAUUUCAAUUUAGAUUUAUUUCUAAAAAAAUUUAUAACCAACCCUAUAUAAUGUACUCGCACCCAAUAAACAGAGAAGAUCAGUUUUGAAUCUGGUGAUUAGGUAUGGUUACACAUGCAUAAGGAAUGAUUUCUGGAAUGGAGGAAAUCUAAAUUAUUGUCUUGAAAGGAUGGUCCUUUCCAAGUUUUGGAAUGGAUCAAUGAUAAUGCAUAUAAGCUAGAUUUGCCCAAUGAGUACAAUGCAAGUACUACUUUUAAUGUUUCUAAUUUGAGUCCUUUUGAUGCAGGUGAUAAUUUGAGGACAAAUCCUCUUCAAGAGGAGGGGAAUGAUGGGAUUAAGGGCAAAACUAUUACUAGCACAUGGGAUGAGGUAUAUUUAGAUCCUAUUCAAGUUCUCGUCGGACCAGUCACAAGAGCCCAAGCAAAGAAAUUCAAUGAAGUGCUUAAUGGGUUAAUUCAAGCAACUUGGGCUCAAUCAAAUUUAUAGAGGCGCGUUGAAAGAAUCGUACAUGAUAAAUGCAUGAUUCAAGCUCUUGAAGUUUUCAAAUAAACACUUCCAUGAAAUAGGAAGUUGACUUGCACAUUAUCACGGGAAAAUAUAUUAUUUUCCUUUUUUGGAUACUUUCUCAUUUUUUGAGGUUGCUAGUCGAGAAACAAAUCAGUUAUUUAUCAUUUAAUUGCCGAGUUUCCAUUUUAAUCGAUAUAAGGAAUUUAAGCUGAUUAGGAUUCUAAUUUGAUUUAGAUUCUUUCCUAUUUGCUUAAAUUAGGAUUCUGAUUUGAUUUAAAUUUUUUCAUAUUCACUUAUAUUAGGAUUCUAAUUUGAUUUAAAUUAUUUCCUUAUUUACUUUAAAUUAGGAUUUUGAUUUGAUUUCAGUUUAGGAUUUAUUUCCAAAAAUUCUUGUAACCAACCCUAUAUAAUGUACUCGCAUCAAUAAACAGAGAAGAUCAGUUUUGAUGUAAUUGGUGAGAGAGUUAAUUUUCUUUGGUUCUUAAACAAACUCUUUGAACUUAUCGGAUUUUGGUGGCAUUCAAACUCUUAACUUAUCAAUCAGAUCAUCCAUAACUAAUUGUAGCGUCGUCACAUACCAAGGUUCGAGCUUUCAUUGAGCAUUGGGGUCGCGGUUCCAUUUAUUUCCAAGUUUAGAUUCGAUCUUGGAGAUUAAAUUGAUUAGGGUCGCGUCAGUUCUUAGCGGGGUCCAUAUCAUUCUUGGUCUAAUUGUCUUCAAUUUCAAAUAAAAUAUUUGAGUUACCUCAAUGUAAUUAAAUCUUGAAAUCUCGAUGAACUAUUCAGCAUUAAAGUUCUGCAGACUCUUUAGAAUCUAACAAAGAAACCAAGAGUCAAACUCACGUAAAAUCGAAGAGUCAUAAAAUGAUCCUCCUCAUCUUUUGGAGCGUUUGCAUAAUCAUCUCUACCUGGACUUAGGAGUUGAUUGUUCAUCCGAACACUUAUUUGGAAGUGAAAAGCACAAAGUUAUGCAACAUCUGAGUACAUAAAGUGCUUUGGAAUGUGUGCUUUGGCGCUUUCGCCUUUUAGGGGCUAUUUCAUCAUGUUGUAUGACAAGAUACAUAAAAUGGCACUUCGUUGAUCUAUUUAUUAUUGCUUGGGGCACAAUAGUACACUUUCGUUUAGUACAGAAUGUUAGUAUGAGGUCCAAGUAUGACAAGGUAAUUGCCCAAGGUACUUGUUCAAUGAUAGUUUUUAGAAUCAUGUCUAUAUGUUCUUGUAAUAUGAUUUUUGGCUACAUGAUAGUGCUAGCAGUCAUAGAUCAUACUAUUAGAGUAUUUCGACUACCUUAUUCUUUUGUUGUAUAAUUAUGAUAAUAUUAUUACAAAUGGUUAAUAUAUGUUGGCAUUAACUACAAUAUACUUUUUAAUUCUAUUAGAAAUUUUGGGAGCUAUGUGGAUGAGAUUAUUUAAGUAUAUUAAUCACAGUGAUGUGUGAUAUUAUAGAUGUUUGAGGAGAUAUUGAUUAAUGAAGUUGGUUAAAUAUCCGGCUGUUUUGGGAGUACUAACUUUAUUAUAAAUGUUUGAAGAGAUAUUUACUAAUGAAGUUGGUCGAAUAUCUAAUUAUUCGAGAAGUGCUUACUUUUGUAGGUUGGAAACUUAAAAUAUGGGAGACUCUAACGAAUUUCAACAAAAUCCUUAAUGAUAAUUUUAUUUAUUCAUGUUAGAUGGAACUAACUAGAUUCACCCUUAGAGUUGGAUAGCUGGUUUCAAAUUCACCUCAUAGAUUUGUUUUGGGGAUUAAAAACAGAAACUAAUUUUUCAUUUGAUACGAGCAAUUCUUUGCGAUUGCUAUUUAUUAAUAGGAAUAAGUACACAGAAACCGAUUCCACAUACAGAGCCAGGAAAUUUCAUCAAAAUAGGAAACUUUGUUAGGUUUCAUUUAGGAAAUUGUAAAAUAUAAAUUUAUCAAUAACAUAAAAUUACAAAUUUCAUUUAGAAACCUUUAGUAAAAUUAUUUUCUAAACAUGAACACAAAUUUUAUAAAUCUAUUAAUCUUAAUUUUGAGCUGAGAUUUAUGUGAUUAUUAAAAUCAUGUAUAUGAUAAAAUUUAAGCAUUUCAUUUUUUUAUAAACUAAAAAUUAUAUUACAACGACAUUAUCUUUGAUUUAAAGCUAGGUUUUAACAAGAAAAAGAAUGUAAUAAUAUUGUCUAAGAAUAAAAAAGAAUAUGAAUAUUUAUUUUUACUUAUCGAAUCAUAGUAGAAGAGUCUUUCUUUUAUUCCCAACCAUGUUUUUGCUUUUUUUAACUUUUCUUUUGUUCAUUACCUUUUCAUUGAGUAUAAACAGCUAAUUUAACAUAUUCGUAUUUAUCAUCCUCUAAUACAUAUUCGUAUUUAUCAGCUAAUUUAGUUUAAUUGUUAAAACUCCUUAGGUUCCAACUUCACUCACACACAGAGAGUCUUCUAAUAUACACCUCAUUAAAUAUCAUAAAUUCAUAUAAUAAAUACUAAUAAAAGUCAAUUGGUAGAUUUUAAAUGCUAUAAACAAUUUUUUCACAAUUUUUGUUUUCUAACUUCGUCGGAAAAACUUUAGAAUGCGGACGUCAGCAUACCAUUAUAAAAUAUCGUUGGAAAAUAAAAUAUAUAAAAUUGAUUCAUGCAUAGAUGAUAUUUCAUGGGGUUAUUUAUCGUCAGCCCCCACAAGUUUCGACUAUGUGCACUGUGCACCCACAUCUUUCGACCAUGUGUACCACACCCCCAUUUCUGUUAAAAAAUCGGUUAAUUCUAACUGUUCAGACUGUUGUUAACCUAAAAGACCAUACUACCUCUGUUUUGAAUUGAAUUGAUGUAUAAGUACUAAAAUAUCCCUUAUAACUUAUGAAAUUUACAUCAAGAAAUAAAGAUUUCUUAUAACAAUAUCUAUUUUUAUAUAUUUUUUAAAUUAAAUUGAAUCAAUUUUUUUUCAUUAUCAUAACGAAAUUGUAAAUCGGUAAACUUCAAAAUGAGAGACAAAGCAGGAUUCCAAAGGGAAAGAAGAAAAUCAAACACAGAAUCAUCAUCAGAUUACAAAAAAUUCCAAUUAUAAAGAAACCAAAUCAAAUUAUACCAAACAGCUGCUGCAAAUUUCACUGUAAAAUUCUAUUACAAAAGACCCAAACUAAGAAAAUUUAACAAAAAAGAAUCCAAAAUAAAAAAUCAUAAAACUAAAGAUUUCAAACCCUAAAUCAAAUUAUAGAGGCGACGGAGACGGCGACAGCUUCAAGUGGUGGCGUCAGCGGUUUCGUGCAGCAGUGGAAGUGAUGGCAGAUCACGCAGCGCAUGCCAUUUUUUUGUUGUCGAUUCAAGUUGGUGGCUGAUCACUUCGAUAGGCAGCACUAGUGAAAGACAAGAAGAAGGAAAAGGAGAAUAAGAAGAAAAAAGAAGAAGAAGAAGAACGAAGGAAUAAAGACGGGAAGAAGCAAAGGAAGAGAAUAAAAAAAGAAAAGGGAAAUAGAAGAUAGAAAAAAAAAACGAAGGAUAAAAGUCUUCUUUCCCAAAUUUUUUUAUAUAUUAUUUUAAUUUAAUACAAAAUUAUCAUUUUACCCUUCUUUUAUGUUAAGUUAACGGUAGAUGGACGAAAAUGGGGGCGGGAUGCACAUGGUCGAAAGAUGUGGGUGCACAGUGCACAUAGUCAAAACUUGUGGGGGCUGACGAUAAAUAACCCUAUUUCAUGUGGAUGCAAAGUUUACAACAUUGUACAAUGACAUAAACUACUUUACAACAUUGUAAAGUACAUUUCCAAUGUCAGAAAGGAUUUUAUGGCACUGUAAAUACUGAAUCUACAUCUUAAAAAAUGCGAAUAUCCAUACUGAUAAUAUUGUUAAAAAUAAACUAGUAAUAAAGUAGAAAAGAGCGGACAAAAGAAAUGUUUGAAUAAUAGACAUUGAUAAUUUUCUAUUCUUUCGUAGUGAGGAAAUGAAUUACCUACGCGGGAAGGGAAUUCAAUUUCCUAUCAGUGAUUAUAGAAAGUAAUUCCGCCGGUCCAAACAAACUAAUUUCCUAUUCUAGAUCCCUAUACACACAAGGAUUUGUAGUGAGGUUUCCUAAUAUUUAUUGAUGUUAUUCCUAUUAGGAACAGGAAACUCAAGUUCGUAACGAACUGUGAUUUCGUAUUUAAUUUACUAAUAUAAAUACAUAACAGUACCAAGAGAUUAUUUGCUUAUAUAAAAUUAAAAAUUUGUUUCUGCCUUUAAUCCUGCCAAAACAAAUCCAUGAAGAGAAUCUUUCUGAUUGCGCUUUUUACUUUGUUGCUUUCUCCAUCUUCUUCAUUCGCUCAAACAACUCAAACAUGUACCAAUUACCGGUUCACCACCCACAACAACAAAUACGGUGCAUGCGUUGAUUUGCAAGCUUUAAAUUCUUUUCUCCACUGGAGCUAUGACGAAGCAACCGGCUCUGUCGACUUAGCCUAUCGUCAUGUAGGCAUGAAACCAACCAGAUGGGUUGCGUGGGCUAUAAACCCUACCGGUAAAGGCAUGGUCGGCUCUCAAUCUCUUGUAGCUUACCGUAACCCUAACGGAAUCUUGAAGGCAUACACAUCGCCGGUGAUGAGUUAUGGCACCAAUUUACAAGAGGGAAACUUGAGCUUUAAGGUUCCCAAGAUUUCAGCAGACUUUUCCAAUAACGAGAUGAUAAUAUAUGCAACGAUAGUGCUUCCAAAGAACAUGACCACAGUGAGCCACGCGUGGCAAGAAGGUCCUGUACGUGGUGACAAUCACCUCGGCAUGCAUCCUCUAGGAGGCGACAAUAUCAAAUCAAUGGGUACUUUGGACCUUCUUUCCGGGAAAGUUAUGACUACCAAAGGAGGAACCUCGGGUACUCUUCACUUCAAGCAGGUUCAUGGAAUCAUAAACGCGGUUAGUUGGGGCUUCUUGAUGCCAGUGGGUGCUAUUACUGCCAGGUACAUGAAGGUCUUCCAAUCAGCUGAUCCCGCUUGGUUUUAUGCUCACAUCAUAUGCCAAUCCUCGGCUUACUUACUUGGUAUUGCUGGAGCGGGGACAGGAAUUUAUCUUGGCAACAAAUCUCAUGGCAGUCAACAUUCCACUCACAGGACUAUUGGGAUACUACUUCUCGUUCUUGGCUUCAUUCAGGUUUUUGCGUUGAAACUGAGACCAAAGAAGGAGCACAAGUACAGAAUUUGGUGGAAUUUUUACCACCAUUCUGUCGGAUACGCCAUCAUAAUAUUAAGCAUCUUCAACAUCUUUGAGGGUUUUAAUAUUUUGAACCCUUUGAAGAUUUGGCGCUUGGUUUAUGCUUGUACUCUUGUUGCAUUGGGAGCCAUUGCCGCUAUUUUGGAAGUAGUAACUUGUGUCAUUGUUAUAAGGCAGCGGAGAAAGAUGGAGAAUCCUGAAACCAAUGUCAGAGCAGCAGCAUGAAGUUUUAGCGUUGUAGUAUAUAGAUUAAGAUUUACUGAUUUUUUCUGCAAUUUUGUUUAAAUUUUCCCACAUCAAUUAGCGAAAUAAAAGCAUUAUUAAUUUUUUUUGGUACAAAUUAAUUUGUACAUAAUUGCAUGUAACAUUAGCUCGUAUAUUACGACUAGCAUACAUGUUGAUUUUUUUUAAAUGUCGGGUAAUCAAUUAGAAGAGGCACAUUAGAUUAUACUGUUUGUUUAAUUGUUUUAUCCCCGAAAGUUAAUUACUGAUACCAGUUCCAUGGUACGAGGAAUUUUUUAAGGGGAUAGAUCUUUCUCAAUAGAACCUCUCGUAUGAGUUUUAGUAGAUGUUUAAGUGUCCUUAAAAUACGUAAUUGUGGAGAGUAAUCUCUAAAUUAAUUAAACUUCUUAACAAUAUUCAUCUCAAAUUGAAAAGUUGGAAAUUAUACGUGUUUGUAGUUGGUACAACAUAUUUUUCUUUAAUAUUUUUAACAACUAAUCAAAUGCAAAUCUCUAAGAUAAGUCAUCUCUUACAUCUUGCUCUUGUUUUCUUUUAACUUCUAUAUGCUUUUCAAUUUUUUUCAUUCCCCUGUUUCGACGGCAGCAAUUAGCAUCCUGUACUGUUCAUACUAUUCUCAAGUCAAAUUGCAUUUGUAAAUUGUAAUGUUUGGACUGAUUAAUUGAGAAACAUUUAUCACAACCAUAUUGCCCAACUUGCUUCCGAAAUUUCUUUUGACCUUAACCACCGCUCUUCCUUGAUCAUUGUUGUUUCCAGUGGCGGAGCCACCGAAGGCCCAACGUGGACAGCUACGUCUCUGCAUCUAUUUUUUUUUUUUAAAUUCAUUUUUUAAACCUACUCAUUUUUUGUAUAAUACAAAUAAAAUUAGUGAUUUGUCACUUUGGCUUUGAGUAAAACACAAAAACAGAUGUACAAAAUUACAUUUUCAUUACCAAUACGCACUGUAUCUUAAUUAAGAAGGAGGCUUGCGUCUCGUUUCUCCAUGGAGUGCAUAUUGACUCACUGCUCCUUUGGAUGUGCCAAUUGAGUUGGCCAUUUUGCUAAUUAUCCCCUCCAAGUGGUGCAACUUGUCGUUAAUGCUUAUAUAUAUUUUUUCUUUUGCGAUUUUGACAAGGAAAUAAUAACAAAUUAUACACUUAAAGAAAAAUAGUCUUCAGCGACAUGAAAAAUAGUGUUACAAGUACUUAUAAUAAUGAUACUUGCUAAUUGUGUCAUUGAUUUGGUAGUCAAAAUCUAUGAUUAUUGUUACGAUGAUAUCAAUGUUUGAUUUAAUAUUUCAAAUUCAACAAACUUAAAAAUAAUGUUACUUUAUUGGAUGAUUUAGGCAACAGAAAUAGAUUUAUAUUUGAACAAAUACUACUAGAAAAAUUGUUUUUACUGACAUUAGAAUAGUGUCAGUAAUUACUUUCAGUAAUACUUGUUAAUUGUGUCAGUAAUCUGACAGUAAAAAAAAUAGUGACACUUGUAUGUGGUGUCAGUGAUUAUUAUUACUAUAGUAUUAGCAAUUUUAUGACACUAUAGUGUUAGUAAUUAUUGAUAUCAUAUUAGUGUGUAAGAUUAUUGUUACCAUAGUAUCACUGUUUAAUUUAUUUAGAAAAAUUAAAAUUUGAAUUGGCUUAUUGCCUAUUGAGUUAUUAAUAAAAUUAAAAGGCAUCACAAAAUAACCAAAAAGAAACUCGAUUUAUAUUAUAAAAUCUUUCAUUUCAUAUUUAAAUAUUAUUAUUACAUAUUACAAAUUCCAAGUACUUCAAGAAACAAGAUAUGAGAUAAUCCACCCUUAUAGCUGAAUAAUCUAAAUUAAAUACAUAAAAUUUUCUACCAUCCAAUCACAUUCCUACUAGUUGUAACUAAAUUUAACAUUUAUAACAACUAAAAUGAGAAGGAUGAUUGUCUUCACUCUUUCAACAUAAGUAGUGCAAUUGAGUUAUCACACCAACAGCUCCUUCAUUCUCCCUUCAAUAAUGGGUGGGUUAGGAUACAAGUGAAGUUGAUGAAGAAACACUUCAAACAUAUUAAUCAAAUCUGCAUAUAAAUACAUGGAAAAAGGAAAAAUUAAAAAUUGCAUGUCAAUUUCCAACCAUUAGAGAAACAAUGGUUAAUAGAAAUAAACUUUUGUCAUAUUUGUGUUUUUGGCUAAUUUCUAUGUUUAAAAUCAUCAUGUCCCACAUAUCUUCAACUGGAAACAGUGGCAGUUGGAUUUCAAGUUUUUUAGAAUAGGGAAACCGAACCUAGUAAGCUUGUGGAUAUUUGUAUCUUUACUAAAUAUACAUAAAUCAUUCAACUGAGUUUUACCAGGAUAAUAAAAAUAGCUCAUGCAGUACACUGCAUCGCAUAAUUCAAAUACAUAUAUACUUUUAAGUCUAUUCACUUAAUGCAAUGCAAACCACAAAUUCAAACUGACCAAGAACCUCUUCUCUCUUCGCUGCUUCUUCUUUGCUUUCAUAAAGCCCAACUUCAACCAAAAAUGUCAACCCUAAAGGAAAUCGAAAUCAGGGUGUCAUAUAAAAAAAAUUAUAAAUAAAGAUAAAACAAAACCUUUUCCAAGUCACAAGUUCUUUGUAUAUAAGCCUCUAUGGAUUCUAUAAUUGAUAUUGGUUUCAUUUAAUUAGCUGGCGACAACGACUAUAGAUAAUUUAUAUGUGUAGUGUUACUCUAUAACUACAUGAUGAGGAUAAAGAAAGGUAUAACGCACUAGCUAUGCGGACAAUUUCACAUGAACCAAGAGCUUUUAAUACCAGCGUCACUAUGGUCAAAAGAUUCUCCUUCACAGAUAAAACUAAUCCGGGACUACCACAGGUGGAACAAUUCUAACAACAAAAUACUGCACAUUACCAGAGUUAUUUCUUUAGGUAACGAUUUUAUAGGAUUUAUCUGAAAAGUGAAAAAAGUAUAAAUAUUCAGAUCGAAUUGUGGAGGUGAUAGCUAUUCAUUAAUUUACAACUUAAUUAAUUGAUAUGUAACAAUCACAUAAAACUGUAUGCAUGAAGUGAAUGGAAUAAAGAGUUAAAAAAAAAGCAUUUUAAUUUCAGAGGUAGUUUCAGCAUCCUUUUCAAGCACGUUGUGUGCCCCACAAAUAAGACAUGUUAACUGUCAUUUAUAAUUCAAUGGCAUAGAAAGAAGUAUCAUUUCACAAUUGCAAUACAGUUGGACAGUGGAAAUAGUGAGUAUUAAAACAUUGAUUAAUGUUGGGGGGCUGAAUGCUGCAUUUUUAAUUAUAUCUUUCCCUUUUAUUAGCAUUGUAAAAUCUGCACCAACUUCACAAAACACCAACCAGAUAUACGAACUUUGUGCAUGAUGAAGUAUAUUAAGCCAAUUUUGCCCAACCCCGUACCUGAAAAAAAAAUGAGCAUAUUAAGCCAAUUUUCAUACUCCAUGGCCUUAUGAUCUAUCAGCUUUUGUAAGGUAGGUCUUGUGGGUGUCUUAGGAAAAAAAAAUGUAGGUCUUGUGGGUGCAUCAAGAGCAAAAAGGUGGAUCUUUUGGGCAUUUAAUUAUUUUCCAUUAACUCUCACAUUUAAAGGGAAUAGGGAUAAACUAUUAACUGAACACUUACUAAGAAACUGUAGUGAACAUUUGAAGAAAAUAUAAAUAAAUAAAACAUGUUAUUUUGAGCAUUCAGUCAUAAUACCAACUCACAAUGAAGUAUGAUUUCCUUUUGGAAAUUAGACCAUUUAAAAGCUUUGUCAAACACCCUGAAAAAAGGGGCCAAUACAUUUAUCCAAUAUAUGAGAUACCACAUUAUUGCUUCUACCUUCAUGCAUCAUAAACUAUCAUGCUUUCUGGACUUCCUGUCUAAAUAUAAAAGUACAUUUUAAAGAAGAAACCAAUUGCUGUGUAUCCAAGCCCAGCCACAAAAAGGUGAAAUUAUCAAACAACCAAAACAACAGAAAAACUCAAAAUACCUAAAAUUGAUAGGCUUUGUGCCAAACUCAAGAGGUUGCCAGACAUUAGAUAUCAAUCCAAAAGAGCUUAAAUCCUAUAACGGGGCAGAUAAGCUAAUCUGGAUGCCGUUUUUCCCAUGGUCAUGACUGAACUUUUUCAGUAUACGGCAAUAGUUCACCUAAAAACACAAUAAAGCUUGUCAACUUAAGGAUAUAAGAUCUUAAUCUUGUUAAAAUAAAUAGUAAAAUAACUACUCUUAUAGAAAAAGGGAAAGGGAAAUUCCUUGUGGUUGCACUCAUGCAAAUAGAAUGAUCUAUUAAUCGAAUUGGAACUUUCCCAAUUAUAGAGUUACAUGUUUGCAAAUAUCACUUAUGGAUAAUGACCCACAAAGUAAAAAUCAAAUAUUUCCCUUAACAGUUCUUGAUUACGGAAGUAUAGGACAUCCUUUUUAUUCUGAAAUGAAUUAACUUUUAAUCAUUCUAAGAUAGUGUUCAAUCAUAAUUAUUUUUCAAAGAAAAAACUGGUCCUUGAGAACUCUAAAUGACCAUUUACUAAGGCCAAGAUACCUUCAGAUCCUUGAUUGAUAAUGCAUCACAUAUCUUUCCUCAAUCAUACAACCACCCAGAUCAAAGCAUCAUAUGUUGCUUAAAUUUCAUAAACUUAACAAAACAGAUAACUCACCUCCAGGCGGAAUAGGUUUGUGGGAAAAACAAUCCCAGCUCCAAUAGAACUUCGGGUUGACUCCAAAAACUUUGGCAAAGAGAAAUUUCGGUAUUCAUUCUUUGUCAACUUGGCAACAUUCCCAGCACAUGCAAAAAGAUGUCCAUGAAUUGCUUUUUCUCUAAACCACCUCAAUGGAAGAUCAAAAGAAAGAUCUGCAAAGGCUGAAACAGCAAGGUCUCCUCCAAGAAAAUCCCUUUCAGAAGCAUCAGCAUUCUCAUCAAGGAAUCGCCUCUAACUUGCCUUCUUGGCUCUGCAGGGCCCAAUCCCCUUGUCUUAAACCCCCAUAAUGUCGAUGGCCUCUCUGAACUCAACAUUAAAAACAAUAAAAUACCCCUAACAAAAAAGCCCUAAUUUUUUGAAUCUGACUUUUGAACCCUAACUUUGGCCAAGUUCUUCACAACACUUUCUGGGCUUUUUUCCAGGGGUAUUUUAGCUCAAGGAUGGCGGCUUUUGAAGGUUUACAGCAGCAGCUUGUGAGGUAGACCGUUGUUAGAGAGAGAGGUAGAGAGAGAGGGGGGGGGGGAGAGAGAAGAGAGCUUCGGUUCAAAGAAGAAAGUGGCGGUGGGGAUAGAUUUUUUGCUCGUCAAAAUUUUUAGAUUUUAGGUUUCCAUGUACACCUCAUUAAAACGACAUAGUUUCUAGAUAAUUUAAUUUAAUUUUUAAUAAUUAUUGUUUGUUAAGUUAAAAUGAAACUUGUGGUUUGGUGACUUAACGUUUAAAAUUAAAAAACUAAAGUUCAGAAGUCUGUGGUUCGACUCCUAGUGGAUACAAAAUUAAAAUUUUAUUUUUUUAAUUACUGAUACCUUAAUGUCACAUAUUUGUGAUACUUAAUUUACAGAAACUAUAGUAUUGAAAAUUUGUGAUACUUAUCUGUUAAACACAGAAAAUGCCCCAAAUGCAUGUAAUUACUGAUACUUUUUAAUUAAGUGUCACAAGAUAAGUAUCAGUAAAGACCAUUUUUCUUGUCAUGGUUAGACUAAGCAGUCUCACACAUGCAUAGAGUGAAGAUUGUCAAAAUUGUUGGAGAAUUUGAAGGAUAAAACACACAUUUUUAUUAAAGAAGCUCUGGAACAUUAUAAGAACAAUUCAUACCCUCACAAAUCACUUUCAAAAGCUUUGUUUUGCUUCUUAUGCUCUCUUAUUUUAUGCUUGAUGCAUACAACACAAAUGACAAUGGUAUUUAUAGUACCCAAAAUUUAAUUAUAACCACACACAUAAACUAAAUAAAUUUAAUCAGAGCCACUCUUUUAUUCUCAACCGUCACACUAAUUAUCAACCUAACUCAUUGUACUUCACCUACUUCAGCAACCACACCAACUAGACCAGCUACUUAAGCUCACAUAACUUAGAAAGUUCUAUGAGAUAUGCUAAGCUUUGUGUUUUUUGGACUUGGAUAAAAAAACGUUUAUGAUCUAACACCCUCCUUAAACUUAAUUUAUAAAACCUAGUAAAGUUCUCAACGUGAAGAACUUUUCUUGCUUUAGUGGCUUGGUAAGGAUGCCAGCAAUUUGAUCAUGUGAUUUGUCAUACUUUGCUUGUAUUUCUUUUUUGUUAAUACACUUCCAUAUGAAAUGGUAGCAAAUGUCAAUAUGCUUAUUUUGAUCAUGGAAGAUAUGAUUUUUAACUAAGGCAAUUGCUGAUUUUUGUCAAUAAAAUCUCUAUAGGUUCUUGUGACAAACCCAACUCCUUCAAUAAAUUCCUUAGCCAGAUUACAUGACAAAUGCUUGAUGCAGUAGCCACAUACUUAGCUUCAGAGGUAGACAGUGUAACAGUGGGUUUCUUUUUCGACAUCUAUGCAAAAGUAGUGUCAUCCAAAAAGGACAUAAAUCCUAUGGUGCUCUUUCGAUCAUCUAUAUCUCCACCCCAAUCACUGUAGUUAUCUACAACAAGCUUGUAGUCAUUAAAGAAUGGGUAUAACAAUCCAAAAUCAAUUGACUUUUGAUAUAGCAAAUGCUUUUUUUUUGCAGCCUUAAAAAGAGUGGUCUUUGGAUUCUCUAUGUAUCGACUCACAAAUCCAACAAUAUAAAGGAUGUCAGGUCUCGUACAUGUUAAGUAAUAUAGACUUCCAACAAUACUUUUGAAAAGAGUUGGAUUUACUUUUUCUCAUUUGUCAUACUUGGAAAACUUGACUUUGUACUCCACUCAUGUACUUAUUGAAUUGCAAUCAUUCACCUUGAACUUCUUAAGUAUCUCCUUUGCAUAGCUUUCUUGUGAAAUGAAAAUGCCAUCUUCUUGUUGCUUGACUUCAAUGCCCAAGUAGUAUGCCAUCAACUUAACUCAUUCCACUUUACCUACUUCACCAACCACACCAGCCAUACUAACUACCUAAGCUCACCUAACUUAGAAAGUUCUAUGAAAUGGGCUAAGCUUUGUGUUUUUUGGAAUUGGACACCCUUUAAACUUGUUUUAUAACACCUAGAAAAGCUCAAUCUGAAGAAGUCUUCUUAUUUUAGUGGCUUGGUAAGGAUGCCAACAAUUGAUCAUGUGAUUUGUCAUACUUGUAAUUUUUUUUUUCCAAUGCACUCCCAUAUGAAAUGAUAGCAAUUGUCAAUAUGCUUAUUUCUUAAUUUAAUUUAACUUCUAUUUUUUUAAUUAGACCUAUUAUGUUUUUUCAUUUAACUUAUAUAUUUUUUAAUUUAAUUUUAAUUUAGUAAAUAAUUUAAUUAAAAAAUAAUGCGAUUCGAAUAUCUAGUUUUCUGGAUGUAUUUACAUCUGAAUCCGGAUCCAGAUCCGUAUGGAUCCUAAUUUUAAGGAUCCAUAUCCGCAUUUUUUAAUAUGCGGAUCAUGAUUUUUUUGGAUUAAGAUCUUCUGGAUCUUUACAGAUCCAGAUAUUUUUGCCAUCCUUAUUCUGUUAUUCUUGGAGCUUUUUCCCUUUUUCUUUGGAUCGGCAUCCAUCUUGAGGAGUUGUUCUUCGAUCCCAUGCUUUUUUUGUUUUUCUUUGUAGGCUUGCAACCUACCUUGAAGUUACUUGAUCGUCAUAGCCUCCAAAUCUUUUGUUUCUACAAUUGUCACAACAAUAUGAUGAAACUUCAAAUCCAUCAAACAAAGUAUCUUUUCAAUGAUCCUUACCUCUUUAUCUCCUUACCAUUUUCUUCUAAUUCAUUGGAAACAAUCACAACCCGAGUAAACUAGUCAAAAAUUAACUCGGAUACCGUCAUGUGUAAGGACUCAAAUUCUUCCCGUAACGUUUGAAGACGAACCUUCUUAACUUGUCCAGCUCCUUUGCAAGUGGUUUCUAGCUUCUCCCGUGCUUCCUUUGAGAAGGUUGCUCCAACAAUAUUUUCAAAAGCAUCUUUAUUUAAUGAUUGAAAGAUGAGACAUUUCACUUUAUUCUUUUUUUUUUAAAUCUUUUAAACUCUCCUUUUGUGUUGCACAUAAAGUUGCUUUAUUUUCUAGCACAAAAAAGCCAUUUUCCACGACUUCCCACACAUCUGUGCACUUGAUAGAGCCUUCAUUUUGAUACUUCAUUUGUCAAAUUUGUUUCCCUUUAAUUGUGGAACUUGGAACGACAUCAUAUCACUAUUUGCCUUAAUUUACAAAUUCAGUGAGAAUUUGGAGAUUGUAAAUGCAUUGAUGAAUCCGGAACAUCGAAAAACCUUGGGAGGAACUUGGAUCAACUUUCGGUCAAUGGUCAAUUUUUUAUCAAUGGUUAAUGUCAGUCAACAAGUGAUGGUCAACGAUCAACGGCUCAAUUUGGUCUAGUUGAAUUGACUUGGAUCCAACUAGGUUCAGUUCAUCUCGGUCAAUGGUUUGGUUUGGAUUGGUUCAAGUUGAUGAGUCAACUGAGUUUUAGGACAACAAGCUUCUGAUGGUAAUUGCAACAUUGCAUUCCUCUUGUCAAGCUCUUUGAUUUGAUAUGCUACACUACUAUGUAAAGCACCAAUUACUAUCUCUCUGAUACCACUUUAUUGAAGAAUUUAAAGAAUAAAACAUAAAUGUUUAUUAAAGAAAGCUCAAGGACAUUACAAGAACAAUUCACACUCUUACAAAUCACUCUUAGAAGCUUUGUUUUGCUUCUUGUGCUUUCUUUUUUAUAGACUUGAUGCAUACAACACAAAUGACAAGGGUAUUUAUAGUAUCCAUGACUUAAUUAUAACUACACACAUAAACUAAACAAAUUUAAUCACAACCACUCCUUUAUUCUCAAUCAUCACACUAAUUAUCAACCUAAUUCAUUCCAUUUCACCUAUUUCACCAACCACACCAAUCAUACCUACCACCUAAGGUCACUUAACUUAGAAAAUUCUAUGAGAUGAGCUACGCUUUGUGUUUUUGGGACUUAGAGAAAAAACAAGUUUAUGAUCGAACAAAAAUUACACAUUGGAAAUGAGGGUCAUAUUAUAUUACAUCAUAUAUAAAAUAAAAUAACUCUUGCAUUGUCAUCCAAAACUUAAAAAUUAUAGUAUGUGAAACAAUUGAAUAGUUAUAAACGAGAAUGCAUGAUUUACUAUGUAUUACGGGUAUGUUUGGUACAUUGCAUUAUGAGGUAUUAAAAUAUUGUUCACAUUAAAUUAAUGCUAGUGCUAUGUUUGGAAGAGCAUGGGAACGGGUUAAAGGGGCUGUUGCUGCAUUAGCUUGCUUUUUUUGUUUUUUUCUUUUGCUUUUGCUUUAUAAUAAUAAUAAUAAAUAAAUAAAACUUUUUUAAUUUAAUAUAAAAUUAUAAUUUUUUUAUUUUUUAUUUUACAUUAUAAUUUCUUAAUGAAUUUAUAAUUUAUUAUAACUAAUAAUAAAUAUUUAAAUAUGAAUAAAUUUGAAUAAUAUUAAUUUAAAAAUUAAUAAUAAUAUAAAUAAAAAUAUAAGAUAUUGAUACAAUUUAAAUAUAUUAAUAAAAUAUAAUAUAUAAUUUAAAUUAAUCACAAAACAUUAAUAUAGUACAGUGUAGCACCAAAUAUUGUACAACAUUAUUAUAAUACAGUGCUAAUACAAUACAAUAUAAUACAAUACACUAAUAUUAAAAUAAUGUAAUAUAACAUAAUAUAAUACAAUGUGGCAAACACACCCUCAUUAUAUGUACAAUAGUUUACCCCCAAAUAUAAUAAUUAAAAUUAUAAACAAAGAACAAUUGUUUAUCCCUCGUGACAAUUAAUGCAAAUGGCUUUUCAAUCAAAAUUUCAUCAAUGUGAAUUUAAGCAUUUUCUUUUCCUUUUAAAUGUUUGAAAUCUUUUACAAAUAAUUUUAGCCAUGAGAUGUAAGCCACUAGCCACAGUAGCAGCUAGUAGCAAGAGAUGCUGGAGAACAAAUGUUGCAAAAGACGAACCAUAUUUCGACAAUUCAAGCCACGUUUUUCACAUGAAACAUAUAUGUGACUGUCACAUCGUCAUUAAAUGGUUGAAUACUAUCCGAGGAAUUAUUAAUAGGCGAGGGCUACCUUUCAGUUGUGGUAAGAUGCAGCCCUCUCACAUGAACAAUAUCUACCGUGAGCCUAAAUGAGAUUCAUGAUCCCGUUUAUGAGAGAAUUGCACUAUACAGCACCUGUACUAUAACAGACUCCUUAUUAAUAUUAUUUGACGAUCCUUACCUACAAUAUUUAGUUAAAUCAAUGAGCCAUGGGCCUAACACUUCAGCUUAUAAUUUAUAAGUAUUCAAUUAAUUAUUAGUCAAAUCAGUGAGACUUGGGCCCAAUACUUUAGCUAAUAAUUUGUAAGUAUUCAUUUAAUUAUUAGUUUAUCUUCAAUUAUUUUGUGUACUUUUUUUCUUUAAAAUAAUAGGAAUAGGAACGUGAUAAAACAUCAAGAUCAAACUUUAUUUGCCCGCAAGAACAUGUUUUUUUUUAAAAAAAAUAAAGUAACGAAUCUCCUUUAACCCUGAAGACAAAAUGAAUCAUAUUUAGCCGAGCUUUUAAUUUAUCUGCUUUUAUUGCUAUAGAAUCGGCUUUUGAUUGAGGAUGGCAUAAUCUUUGGCUUAAAGUGUGAUUCAACAGCGGUUGUUAGUUUCCUACUUAAGGGUUUUUGGAUGUCUCAGAAAUCAUUUGUGGACUGAAAGGUUAAGCUCUUACGAUGAAUUUUAAUAUGUUGCACUCACACUUGAAGAGAAAAUAACAAGGUGGCUGAUUGAUUAUACUGUAAAUCCCGGUUUCUAGGGUUUUAAUUUAACGUGAUGGCAAAGCGCACCUAUUUCUGCGCAAAAAUUACUUUAUCCCAAUUAUUGGUUUAGUUGAUUUGUGCUUCUUGCUUUCGUUUAGGGAGUUAAUCUUUUUCUUUUCUUUCUUUUCGUUUGAUGCUAUCUUCUUGCUUAGGGAUGAGACUUACUAUAUCCUUACUGAAUUAAACAGACAUGAAUUGUGUUAUGACAGUUCAGUUUAGGCAAUUAAAACUAUAUGAUUCAUAAAUCUCUUAAUCAAUUGGUUUUUAUUUUGGAGGAGAAAAAUUAAAAAUCAAAAAGUAAAAAUAGAUUUUAUGUUAGUAAAUAUAAGUGAUUACUAAUGUGAUAGUAGGCAAUUUAUUUAAUUUGUUUUAUUGUUGGUAUUUGGCUCACUUUGAGAGAUAAUAUAAGUACAGUAGAUGUGGAUGUUUCUUUAUUUUUUUUAAUGGCCCUUACGGAAGUCGGAAUCGAACUCAAACUGAAAUUUUGUAAAUCAAAUACUAACUACUAGAACAGAAUUGAACUAAACUGAAUCAAAUUAAUUUAAUUCAGUUGUGUUUGAUUCAGGUCUAUAGUUUAAUUUGAUUUUGUAUGACAAGUAAUUUUACAUAACAUAAUAAUAAAAUACUAUUGCCACAACAAGAGUCUUAAGUCCAUAAAUUUACAAAUAAUAAAGAACAUUAUAAAGUCGAAUAAGUUAAUAUAAUAAAGUCCAACAUAAAACAAAUUUAUAUAGACUUGAAAUCUACUACAAAUGACAAAUCCACAAUAAUAAAUAAAAUAGGAAAGCAACAACACAAAAUCACAUAUAAAAGAUACUUCAAAGUUCCAUUGCUAAUUAGCCAUCGACAUUCACAAAUUCUUGGAGGCUGCCUUCAAUGACCUUCACCAAGCAAUCCUCAACUUAUCAGCCCAAUUAAUUAGGAAUAGCGCUGAUCCACCUGUUACUAUCCAAGCAAAGGAGUCUUUGCAUCCAUUAUUGGCGAAAAGCUUAGCGGCAACUACUAAAUUAACCAAAAGAUACACACAUAAUUCUCGUUUAUAUUUGAAUCUAAGUAGGGAUAAAAAAAAAAAAAAAGUCCCAAGGCAGCCGUGGUCCGAUUGAUCCGACUCUAAAUUUUAGGGUUUUAACCUAAAUUUAAAAGUUAAGGGUGGACUAAGACUCAAGGAGUUAGGUGUUGAAAAUAAUAAACUUGUUUUAGACAAGUAAUUCAUUUAAGUGGAAUGAAGUGUUAAGUUGCACAUGGCCCUUCUUCAUUCUCCAUCAACAUGGUCCUACCAUGUUAUGUUCAUGAAGCAUCUAAUUGAAUGGAGAUAAGCUUUACAAUUUGGAUGCCAUUGAAGGAUUCCUUUAGAGCAUGUUAGGUGAAGUGGUGCUAUGAUGAAAGUUUGGCGGAACAUGUUAGGUGAUGUGUAUUGUUACGAUUAUGUUUGUGUUUCAUUCACUACAAAUACCUAUGUCAUUUGUGUUGUAUUCAUCAAGUGUAAGAAGAAAAAAGAAUAAGAAGCAGAACAUAGCUUCUAAGAGUGAUUUGUGAGGAGUGUGUGAAUUGUUCUUGUAGUGCUCUUGAGCUUUCUCCAAUAAAUUUGUGUUUUAUUCUUUAAAUUCUCCAACAUUAGGGCCUAAUUACAUUCAAGUUAAGAUUAUGACAUCACUAAAAAGCCCUGAUUUGACCCUUGGCCCUUAAGUUAAAUUUUAAAACAUCUCAGCUAACGUGAAUGGGGCUCGCCCCUUACAGUAUUGAUCCUCCAAAUAUCUCAGCUAAAUAUGAGCUAGUGGGCUGAUGAAUCGAUUAAGAUGAGAUCAUGCAUGCAAGCGGUGGAGAGCCACCGAUAUCAUAACAAUUGGCACAUUUUAUCUUUGCUAUUGUUGAAUACAUUUGUCCCACGUCAUUGAAUCGGAUCUUGUAUGCUCCCACGUAAAUCGUACAAUUGAAAUACUGCUAAAAAUAUAUAACUAUGAAAUUAACUAUUAGUUUAUUUACAGUUAUUGUGUAUUUUUAUUGCUAAUUAGUAGGAACGAUAUCUAAGCCCUAAUCGGACUCACAAUAUUUGUGAUAGCGAUCGAAAUCCAUAAUCUUUUAAUGAUAUUUCAGCCAUUGAUCAAGUCUGAGGAAACUUCAGCCGUUGAUCAUUAUUUACGGUGCAUGCACUAACUACGCCCCAACCACCCAUCUUCAUUCUAUAUAAUUAAUCCAAAAAUAAUUUAGAUUUAGCAUUGAGUUGAUUUUUUACUAAAUUUUUUUUUAAAAAUACAAUUAGUAGUUACUGAAUAAGAAUAUAAAACUAAUUAAAUCUUAGCUAAGGGCGAAAAAAUGAAUAAAUGAUUCAAAUUCAAAUCAAAUCGUAAAAGAAUUGGGUUAAAACUCUGCUGAUUCGUUCGCUUAUUAAACGAAUAUUCAGUUCAAUUCAUUUAAUUUGUUUAAUAGAAUUAAUAAAUUGAUCGAAUCAAAUCUGAUUCAUCAAUAUUUGUUUAUCCUAUAAAGAAUAAUAAAUUAAUUUUAAUUCAUAUACUUUGUCUUAUUACCAUUUAUAAUUACUAUAUUAGCCUUCAAACUUUAAAUUUUUUUCAUAUAUAUUUAAGGAUAACUAAGUAAUUUAAUUAAACGAAUAAUAAAUAAAUUUUAAAUAAAUGGAUCGUAUUUAAUUCAUUUUUGACCCAUUUAUUAAAUGAAUACUAAUGAAUAAAUAAAUUAAUAUCCUUAAACCCAGACUCGAUUAGUUGAAUUAACGAAUUGCAUCGAAUUCAAUCAUUUAUUAAACGAAUCAAUUUUUUCAAAAGCAAACCCAUUUAAUUCACAUAAAAUUGAAUUGAAGAAAUGAAUUCUAAUCUAGAUUCCCACUCCUAAUCUUAAAUUGUAUGUUACUAUAUAUGCCCAUUUGGUAGAAAAUAUUGAAAGGUUGAGCACAUGUCAGCUGAACAUUAGAUUCAAUCCAAACAAAUGAUUUAUCUAGAAAUUAAUUAUGAUUUGAUCUAGAAAUUUGUGGCCGACCAUCUUCCCAUGUUGAUCACUUCCCAUCACCUAAAAGCUAAGCAAGUUAAAAAGAUAAUAAUUUAGCUAAUAAUUCAUAACUAUCAAAUUGACUAUCAGUUUGUCUCAAUUAUUUUGUGUACUUUUAUUAUCAAUUAAUGGGAACGUGAUCUUGCCCGAAUCGAUGUAGUAACUUCAAUGUUAACAUUCGCGCGACAGUGCGGCCUACUUGAAUGUACAUAUACCAUGUCGUGCCAGAAGCAAAAGCUCACUCAACUACUAGCUACUUGCUUCUAACUACACACACAGGGAGAGUUCUUUUCUGAAAUAGUGAAGAACAUGGAAGCUGCUUUUGCAGGUACUUUAAUUUAGAAUAAGUCCAUGUGAGUUCCAUUUCUAUUCUUACAUUAAUAAUAUGUCAUUUAUGAAUAAGUUUUCCAUUAUCAAAUUUUCAGGAAAGACAGAAUGGUUGGAGACAUUUGUUAUCAAGGAGGGCUAUCCACGUGCAUUUACAAGUAUUCUUGUUGUUGAUAUGGAUGAAGAGAAUCUUAAUCUUCUUAUAGUUCCUCAAUAUGGAAGAAAUCCUAACAAGACUGGUUAAGUGGCUAAAUUUCACUUGAUUAUAAUUGAGAAAUGUUAUCCUUCAAAAAGUUUGUAUUUUUUUUUUUCUAUAUAAAAUGACGCUGUCAUUUUGUCAAAAGGAAAUACAAACUUUAUAAGAAAAAUGUUAUUCACAUGUGUUUUAUUUAAAUAAAUAAAAGGACAUGUACUAUUGGUCCAUUGUGUGAGUACAAUUUUUGUUCAACUAAUAAUAGGAUCUCUUGUGAUGUACAAGAGAUUUUCUAAUUACAUUUAUGUGAUUUGAUAUUCCUUAAUAUUACAUAAAAAAUAAGUUGUAUGUUAAUGAUUCAUUUAUUCAUUUUCUGUGAAACCCCAAAGAAGUAGGAAAAUUUUAUUGGAGAAAAAAAAAAUAAAGUUACAAGGCUAAAGAGAAGCAAAUAAGUAGUAAUACUACAGAUGAAUCUCAAUCAAUGUGGUAUUCAUUUAAUAGAUGAUAAAAUUAAACUAUCUAAUAGAUGAAUGACAUAUAAAUAGGAUCCUAAUCAUUAGUGAACAAAUAAAUCAGGAAAGCUGCAGGAGCUUUUUUUUUUUUUUUUUUUUUUUUGAAGUUGGAGAGUGGGCAAAGCGGCAGCAACCUCCUUGAUCAUCUCUAAAAUUUACCAGAAUACUCAUAGAAACAUACUUAAAUCUGCAUUAGAUGUUUGCAAAAUCUAAAUUUCAGAUUUAAUCUUUCUUGGUUACAAAGCUGUUAUUGAAUUCUGUAACCGAAAGGUUCAAUAAAGCCAGCAGCAAUUGUAAAUUAUCCUCUUAAAGAUUUCUUUAUUUAAUAACACACUUGAUGGUAACAGAAAAAUUAUGGUUUGCCACCAAAAAGAAAAACUAAAAGUAAAUUAUUAGAGAUUUUGUUUUUUGAAUUAUAUCAGAGUUCACAUAAAUUUAUACUCUCAGGGAAUCUAGGUAAUAGUAAUAAUUUUUUAUUUUAGAUUUUAUUAGUGCAAACUAUAAUUUUGCCUUUAAGAAUCUAGACUUAAUGGUAGCAGAGGUUACAUCGUAGGUAUUUUGAAGUAUUUUUCAAAAUAUAAAGACUAAAAAGGGACUAAUAUCAAAAUAUAGUGACUAAAUGAGAUUGUACCGUAAUAAAAUUAAUAAGAAAAUAAUAAUAAUAAUUUAUAUAAUUAAUCUUUUGGGCAAUAAAUCUAAAAAAAAGGUAAAAAGAAUUUAUUAAAUUUUAUUUACUACUAUGAGUGAAUCCAUAACCCUAACUAAUUCAAUUUCAUAGUUUCAUUUAAAUUAAGUUGUUUAUAUUCAAGUUUUAUUUUCAAUUUUUAGAUAAAAUAAAAUAGACAAAUUAAAUAUUUUCUCUGUGGAUCGACCUCGGACUCACCGAACUAUAAUAUAAUAAGACACUCUUAUACUUGAGAGUUAGAAAUCACUUUUAAAUUGUGUUACCUUACUGUAGAAGUUGUUGCUUCAAAGCAAAAUUGGAUAGCAUGAAACUAUGGGUGUUCAGAAUCCAAUCCGAUCCGCUCAAUCCGUUUGAUUAGUGAAAAUCCGAUCUGUGGAUUGGAUAUGGAUUGAAAAUUUAAAAAUCCGCAGUCAAUGGAUUGGAUAUGGAUUUACUUCUGCAAAUCCGUAAAAAUCCGUGAAUCCGCAAAAAAAAAUUUAAAAAAAAAAUAUAUAUAUUUAUUUAUUUAGUUAAAACAUUAUUAUAAAUUUAAUUAAAGAAUAUUAUAAAUGUGACAUUAUAUAGUUACAUAAGCACUAUAACAUAUCUUAACCAUUACCUAAUAAUAAUAUUAAAUAAAAAAUAAUCAAAUAUACAAAUAGAACUUGUAAAAAAAUUGUAAAACAAAAUAAAAGCAAAGUCACACGCACUAGCAAAAGCAAAGUAACAUAAUGCUAAGUUACCAACAAUUUGCAAAGUCACCUAAAAGCAAAGUAAUGUAACGCCAAGUUACCAACAAUUUGCAAACAAAAAACCCUAAGCUUCCCCGCCAUCACACGCACUAGCAACACCCAAUAUUGGUUUAAUACACUCUUGACACCGAUUUGAAGGACAUCGGCCGCGUGAUUCCAACAAGAGAAAUCCAUCUUCUUCCCCGAGUCCAUCGAGCCACUUCACAAUCACUGGUUCUAGCCAAAUAAUUGCACUAUCACAACCUUCAAGAUCGCCACCCGUACUUCUCCUGGUUCCCAUCGUUGACGGCUCCGUAAUCACCACUUUUUGACAAGUGCAAUAGUCCUGGUGAAGGAUCAGACUGUGUUUGGUUUCAAAAACUUCGUCAUUUCAAUUAAUUGUGGCUUUAUUUGAACAAUUAAUUUCAGUGUUAUAUUAAUGUAUUAUGUAACUUUAUUUGAACAAUUAAUCUUAGUGUGUUAUAUUUUGAAACUUUAAACGUAUUAUUGUAGCUUUAUUUGAACAACUAAUCUCGAUGUGCUAUAUUUUGAAACAUUGAAUGUAUUAUUUUAGUUUUAUUUAAACAAUUAAUUUGUUUAAAUUUUAUUCAAUUUUAAAUUUAAUUGAUAGUAAAAUUAUUUUUAUAUUAGAUUUUUUUAAAAAUUUCAUUAGUUCAUGGAUUGGGGAGAACUAAAAAUUUUUAAUUCGGAAACUAAUGCGCAAAAUGGUUGAUUGGAUAUGGAUUAAGUUAAAUCCGCAUCCAAUCCGCAGACGUAUGGAUUGGAUAUGGAUUUAGUCAAAUCCACAUCCGAUCUGCAGAUGUAUGGAUUGGAUUUGGAUUAAGUUUAAUCAAUCCGUGGAUUUGAUUGGAUUGAAAAAUUAUAAUCCGCAAAAUUAUGGAUCGGAUAUGGAUUGAUGUCUAAUCCGUAAAAUCCGAUCCGUAAACACCCCUACAUGAAACCAUCACAUUCCUACAAUUAGACAAACAAUUUAGUGGAUAAUGUAUUAGUCGUUGCUUCAAAAUGACGGCAGGAGACAAACAAAUAAAAUUAUAUUACUUGUUGCUUCAAAACGAGAGCAGGAUGAGGAAAAGCAACUGAUAAUGUGGUAGAAAAGGCUCGUCAGAUUUAUGUCGAAGGUUCGAGCUCACUUUGAGGCUGCCAAUGCUAAGUUCAAGACUGAGGUAGAUAAACACCAACGUAAGAAGGUGUUUCAGGAAAUACACUCAACACAUCACUUAGAAAUUCAUGAAAAAAAAUUCUUCUUUCAAAAAGCUCUCUCUCUUCUAGAGAGGCUUGAAUGAAAGUAUUGAGGGGUCGUAAGGAUUCAUGUGGUCACUCCCUGUGAGUGGAAUGUAAUCCAAAAAGUCAGCUUUUGGGGUUGGUGAGCUAGUUGAGAAAGCCCGAAAGCAACGUUAGUGUAGGGCGUUGAGGCACGAAUUAAAGUUAGUGAGCCUAAAUAACUUACUCCCUGUCCAAGCAUUAACUACCAUGGAUACUGAAGAACUAAUCCCCAAGUGUAAAGCAAUAACUAUCAGAGAGGAAGAUAAAGCCAAAAUAACGCUGGAGAUGAAUUUGAAAAAUAAGAAAGAACAAAUGAUGGCAUGAUGCUUAGUGGGCAAAGUACUUCUCACAAAGGGAGUAAACAAAGAUGGACUUAAGGCUGCGUUACAGCAGGUGUGGAGGACUUUCAAAGAAGUCAAGAUCGAAAGCGUGGAGAACAACAUCUUCAUGUUCAAAUUUGCUGAAGAAUCAGACAAAAAAAGAGUGCUAAAAGGGGGACCGUGGCACUUCGACAGGGCUUUGAUUGUUCUCGCUGAGCCAAGGGGGAUUGCGGAAGUCGCAAAACAAGCCUUUACCCAUACAUUCUUUUGGGUGCAGAUUCAUAAUGUCCCACUGGCGUGUAUGGAUAAAGAAUUUCUCCAGGACUUGGGCGGGAAGAUUGGGUAAGUAGAGGAGGUUCAAAUAGAUGAUAAUGGAGAUUGCAUUGGGGAAUUUGCCAGAAUAAGAGUCUCAAUUAACAUAACACCGCCGCUAGAGAAGAUUUUAUUUCUAAAGCAGGAAGGUGAAUGAUAAGUUCAUAUUUCUCAUAUAUUUUGUUAUUAAUUUCUCUGUCUUUUUCUUGUUUUGAUCUUAAAUAUUCUAGUUAUUUUAGUUAAAUUUUAAUUGAAUAGGGAAUUAAUUAAUAUACAUAUUUUACCCUUUUAUUAUAUAUUUACUAGUUAUUUUUAUUUCUUAUUUUUAAUUAAUUGUAUUAUUUUAUUGAAUAGAGAAUUAAUUGGAGAUUGUGGAUAAAAAAGGCAUGAAGAAAUUCAAAUUGAGAAGGAAUAAAUAUUAAAUUGGAAGACAAAAAUACAGUCAAGAAUUGAUAGAACCGAGUGGAAGAAAUCAAAGCAAUUAAUCCAAUUGAGAAAUGUUGAAUAAUUAAAAGAUUUAAUUUUUCCAAUUGGCAAUUGGAGUGCACUUGCAUGUCAUUGCAAAAGUGGAAAGCAAUUUAAACGGGUCCACAAUUGACUUUCAAAAGUUGGAAUUAAUGGCUUUUGGUGGCAUUAAAUUGGAAAAGGAUUUCAAUUAGAAUUGAAAAAGGAUUUCUUUACUCUUGUUGGAGAAGAAUUCGGUCAACUAGCAUUAUAAAAGGGGAGCUGCUGGAUGGAAACGGAGGAGGGCAGAUGCAAUUCGGCAGCAAGAGGAAAAUCAACAACCGCAAGAAGAAGAAAAAAAUCAGCAGCUGGAAUUAAAUUGAAGAAAAAGGCAGCCGCUUGAAUUAAUCUCCAUGAUUGGUUUUGUCAAUUCUCUUAUUCCCAAUUCAAUUAUGUUAGGCUAGAUUUUUAUUUGGUUGAGGGUGAAUUCAAAACCCUAAACAUGCUAUGCAAUUAAAUUUAAAUUCUAUAAUUCAAUUUAUUUAAUUGAGAUUGUUUAUGUUCUUCUAUAAUUAAUGUUCAUGGUUUAUUCUUGUUUUAUUUGAGUGGCCAAUUAGAUAGGACUUGAAUAAAUUUUAUUGCUAAAUUAAAAUUCUUGAUCCAUAAUUGUCUUGAUAUUUUAAUCAUUAGUAGCAGGUUGGAAUCAAUGAUUUUGAUUGAAGAACAUAACUUAGGUUAAAUAAUCCGAGCUUGUGUGUUUAUUGCCUAGAUCAACCUAAUAUCUUUCUUUGUUUAAUACUUCCAUUAUCUUAAAUUUAAAGAGCUUGUUUUAAAUUAUUUAAUGAUUAGAGAUUAGGUGAAGAGCUUGUUUUGCCUAACAACACACUAAGGAAAGAUUGAGACUAACAGAGCUUAUUGUUGUCUACGGUUGAUAGUUUCAAUAUAAAUUGAUAAUAGAAUUGAUAUAUUAUGUGCAUGUUUGGUGGUGGCGAAUGAUCCUUUAACCAAAGUUUUCAUCAUUAUUAUUUCUUUCUCCUUUAAUUAGAGUUUUUUUAUUAAAUUCUUGCUCGUAGUUUUAAUUUCUUUACUUCUUACUAUUUAGUUAAAAAUUCAUAAACCCCCUUUUUAUUUAUAAUUGGCAUUUUCUUUAGUUAGAUUAAUUUAUAUUAUUAUUACUCUUAUUAUUACUACUAUUAUUUUAUUUCAAAUCUUGCUUUAGAGUUAAUAAUAAAUAUAACUACCAUAGUAGUUGUGGGAUCGAUCCUUACUCGCUCUGUACUAAUUAUUUAUAUUAGUGGUAAUGUUUUAAAUUUGAUAAACCUUAACGACACUACCAAAUUUUUGGCUCCGUUGCCGGGGAUUAGCGUCUAGUUUGUUUAUUAUCACUCUUUUUAUUUUAUUAUUUUUAUUUCUUUUCUCAUUUUAUUUAUUUAUUUUAUUUUAAUUAGUUAUUUUUUGUUCUAUAUUUAGAUUUUCAUGAGCAUAGAGGACAUUCGAUUGAAACUCGAACAACUUAGAGGAACCUCAUCAUAUUUAGAACUCGAUUUUGCCAUCCACAUUCCACUCCCGAAGACAGAGCCAAGCAGCCUAGAACCCGAACCAAUGGCUCAAAAUAACAACCGAAGACUUAAAGAGUUGGUAGCUCCUAACUUGGACCAGCAACCCUUAUGCAUUGAGAAUCCAAACCCUUAGGUAAAGUUUGAACUCAAAUCUGGGAUGAUUAAUCUUCUUCCUACUUUUCAUGGUCUUGCAGGAGAGGAUCCAAAUAAGCACUUGAAGGAGUUCCAUGUGAUCUGCUCCACAAUGAAACCAACCGGAGUUUCUGAAGAGCAAGUUAAGCUAAUGGCCUUCCCAUUCUCUUUGGCGGAUUCAGCCAAGGAAUGGUUGUACUAUCUCCCCUCUGGUAUUGUCACUACAUGGAAUGAGAUGCGUCAGCUAUUUUUGGAGAAAUAUUUCCCAGCAUCAAAAGCUGACAGGAUUCAGAAAGAAAUUUGUGGAAUCCGACAGUAUAAUGGAGAGUCACUCUACGAUUAUUGGGAAUGAUUCAAAAAGCUAUGUGCUAGUUGCCCUCACCAUCAGAUAAGUGAUCAACUUCUUAUUCAAUACUUUUAUGAGGGUCUACUACCUAUGGAUAGGAGUAUGAUUGAUGCCGCUAGUGGAGGAGCACUCGUGGAUAAGACACCAGAAGCAGCCCGAAAUCUCAUUGCUAACAUGGCUGCUAAUUCCCAACAGUUCAACACUAAGAAUGAUCUACUACCGCCACCUAAGCGAGUCAAUGAGGUAAGUACUACUUCCCUAGAACAACAAGUUGCAAAUCUUACUUUGGUGCAACAAUUAGCUCUAGGGCAACAAAUGAGACAAUGUGGCGUAUGUUCUAUGGUCGGGCAUGCGACUGACAUGUGCCCUGCCAUCCAAGAGGGUUCACAUGAGCAGGCCAACACAGUUGAGGGGUUUCUAGGCCAACCAAGAUAAAGGUAUGAUCCCUAUUCUAAUUUUACAAUGAAGGGUGGAAGGAUUACCCUAAUUUUAGGUAUGGGAACCAACAACAUGGCAUUUCUAAUGUGGCACCGUCUCGACCACCGGGCUACCCCCAACACCGGGUGCAACAACCUUACCAAGUUCGGCCACCUCCACCUCCUUAAAAUCAAGGUACGUCUUUAGAAGAUCUUGUAAAAGCUCUCGCUACUAACUCUAUGCAAUUCCAAUAGACUACCCAGACACAGCUCCAACAUUUAGAGAAUUAAAUUGGCCAACUGGCCAUAUCUAUGAGUAGGAUAGAGGGUAGAACUUCAGAAAAGUUACCUUCUCAACCAGAAAUUAAUCCAAAGGAGAAUGCUAAUGCUAUGUCUCUUAGGAGCGGAAAACAAUUGGAACCAUUUUUAGCUAAGCCAUCAAAAGUAUCCACAACAUCAUCGCCCUCUGUGACCAAUUCCUCCCCUGAGGCUCUUCCUUUAACAAGGAAAGAUGAUUCCCACUCGGCAUUGCCAGUCGAUCCAUCUGGCCAGGUAAGUAUCCUCUCACCUCGAAUUAAGACUCUCUCUAUUCCUCCACCAUUUCCUAGCAGAUUUAAACAAUCCAAGAAAGAGGAGCAAGAAAAAGAGAUCCUUGAGACCUUUUGUAAAGUAGAGGUAAAUAUUCCUCUACUUGAUGCUAUUAAACAAGUGUCGCGUUAUGCAAAGUUUUUGAAGGAAUUAUGCAGCAACAAGCGAAAGUUGAGCGGUAACGAAAAGGUAAGUGUUAGAGAGAAUGUUUCUGCUGUACUUCAAAGAAAACUUUCGCCUAAGUGCAAGGAUCCAGGUACUUUCACCAUCCCCUGCACUAUUGGUAAUACCAUAUUCGAAAUAUGUAUGCUAGAUUUAGGGGCCUCAAUUAAUGUUAUGCCAUAUUCGAUUUAUAACUCCUUGAAUUUAGGUCCAAUGGAAGAAACUGGUAUAAUUAUUCAAUUGGCUGACAGAUCUAAUACUUACCUGAAGGAGGUUAUGGAAGAUGUUCUUGUGCAGGUAAAUGAAUUGGUCUUUCCAGCUGAUUUUUAUAUCCUUGAAAUGGAGGAUGAGUUGUUGCCCAAUUCCACUCUUAUUCUGUUGGGGCGGCCAUUUCUUAAGACAGCCCGAACCAAGAUUGAUGUUCACGAUGGAACCCUCACAAUGGAAUUCGAUGGUGAAGUGAUCCGCUUCAAUAUCUUUUAGGCAAUAAGGUAUCCUAGUGAUGUACAUUCUGUCUUUGUCAUAGAUGAUAUUAAUACUUUGGUGCAGGAUUUCUUUGAAUUAUUCGGUAAUGACAGUUUUAAAAUUGUCAUAAGCGAAAAUCUUACGAAAGAUGAUUCUAAGGAACAUGCAAAUUUGAUAAAGUUGGAUGAUGAGGUAGAGGAAGCUAUGGCGAUCUUAGAUGGAGCAGUCACAUUACGCACCAAUGGGUAUAAUGUUUCUUACCUUGAAUUGCCUUUAUUAAACGAAAAACGUUUACCUUCAAUUGUGCAGGCAUCUACCUUAGAACUUAAACCACUCCCAGAACACCUGCAAUAUAUUUACUUGGGUGAGAAGGAAACACUUCCAGUCAUAAUUGCUAAAACCCUCACCCUAGUUCAACAAGAAAAGUUAAUUAGGGUGCAUCGAGAUCACAAGACGGUGAUUGGCUGGAUCAUUGCCGACAUUAAGGGAAUUAGUCCUUCCAUGUGCAUGCAUCGCAUUUUGCUAGAGGAAGGGUCUAAACCAAUGAGAGAUGCACAACGCCGCCUUAAUCCACCAAUGAUGGAAGUCGUAAAAAAGAAGAUACUGAAACUCCUUAAUAUGGGGAUUAUUUAUCCAAUUUCUGAUAGUAAAUGGGUGAGUCUUGUGCAGGUAGUUCCAAAAAAAUCAGGCAUCACAGUGGUCAAGAAUGAAGAAAGCGAGCUUGUGCCAACAAGAGUUCAAACUGGGUGGAGAGUUUGCAUUGACUAUCGUAAACUGAAUGCAGUCACUCGCAAGGAUCAUUUUCCUCUGCCAUUCAUUGAUCAAAUGCUUGAAAGGUUAAGUGGUUACUCUCAUUAUUGUUUUCUUGAUGGUUGCUCAGGUUAUAAUCAGAUCGUUAUCGCUCCGGAAGACCAAGAGAAAACGACAUUCACAUGCCCCUUUGCAACAUUUGCUUACCGACGCAUGCCGUUUGGUCUUUGUAACGCUCCUGCCACUUUCCAAAGGUGUAUGAUGAGUAUUUUUUCUGAUUAUGUGGAGAACAUCAUUGAGUUAUUUAUGGAUGAUUUUACAGUUUAUGGUGAUUCUUUCGAUAGAUGUUUGGAUAACCUUACACUUGUUCUUAAACGAUGCAUUGACACUAACCUUGUGCUUAAUUGGGAAAAUGUCAUUUUAUGGUUAAUCAAGGUAUUGUACUAGGCCAUGUUAUUUCUGAAAAGGGGAUUGAAGUUGAUAAAUCUAAGAUAGAUCUUAUUCGCUCCUUACCACCUCCCACUAGUGUGAGGGAGGUUCGUUCUUUUCUUGGUCAUGCAGGUUUCUAUCGCAGGUUUAUCAAGGACUUCUCCAAGAUAGCUUUACCUCUCUGUAACUUACUUCAAAAGAAUGCAAUGUUUGACUUCAAUGAAGAGUGCCAAAGAGCUUUUAAGAAGUUAAAAGAGGUUUUGACAUCGGCCCCUGUGAUUCAACCACCAAACUGGGAUUUACCAUUUGAGAUUAUGUGCGAUGCUAGUGACUAUGCUGUUGGAGCCGUGUUGGGCCAGUGUGUGGGCAAGCUUCCUCAUGUCAUCUAUUAUGCCUCUCGUACAUUAAAUGAUGCACAACUUAACUACUCCACCACAGAGAAAGAACUUUUAGCAGUUAUCUUUGCUUUAGAGAAAUUUCGUUCUUAUUUAAUUGGAUCUAUGGUAAUCGUUUACUCUGACCAUGCAGUUAUUAGGUACUUACUCACCAAAAAGGAUGCCAAACCGCGCCUUAUACGAUGGAUACUUCUAUUGCAAAAAUUUGACAUAGAGAUUCUAGAUAAGAGAGGUUCUGAGAAUUUGGUGGCAGAUCAUUUGAGUCGACUUACCUAUAACGAAGAUGCACUUCCAUUGCAUGAGAACUUUCCAGAUGAACAGUUAUUACAUGUAGGUAUAGUUACUCCUUGGUAUGCAGAUAUUGUCAAUUACUUGGUUACCAGGACAGUACCGAAAGAGAUAACCCAUGCACAAAAGGCCAAGAUCAAGAGUGAUGCCAAGUACUAUGUGUGGGAUGAGCCAUACUUGUGGAAGCAUUGUUAUGAUCAAGUUAUUAGAAAGUGCGUACCCGAAACUGAAUUUACUUCUAUUCUCAUCUUUUGUCAUACUUUGGCUUGUGGAGGACAUUUUGGACAAAAAGAACAACCCUUAAGGUACUUGCGAGCAGUUUUUAUUGGCCAUCACUAUUUAAGGACGCAUAUUUGUUUUGCAAAUCUUGUGAUCGUUGUCAGAGAACAGGUAAUUUGGGACCUAGAAAUCAGAUGCCACAAUCUCCCAUUCUUAUAGUUGAGAUUUUUGAUGUUUAGGGCAUCGACUUCAUGGGACCAUUUCCUUUAUCGUUUGGUAAUCUCUAUAUUGUUCUUACGGUUGAUUAUGUUUCAAAAUGGGUGGAAGCAAAAGCCACCCGAACUAACGAUUCUAAGGUUGUGGUAGAUUUUAUAAAGAGUAACAUCUUUACAAGGUUUGGAACACCAAAGGCAAUUAUCAGCGACAGAGGCACUCAAUUUUGUAACAGGUCAAUAGAAGCCCUCUUUCGAAAAUACAACAUCACUUACAAGGUAUCUACAUCUUACCAUCCCCAAACUAGUGGGCAAGUUGAGGUGUCUAAUAGGGAAGUGAAAUCAAUCCUUGAAAAGACAGUUAAUCCGAAUAGAAAGGACUGGAGCUUACGGCUUGAUGAUUAGUAUUAAAAAUUAUUUAAUUAUCAAGCGAUAAUAUGUUAUUUUAUGCUUAUGUUAUAAUUUAUAUUUGUGUUUAUGUAAUAUAUUAUGAAUUAUUAAUUAUGUUUUCAAUAUAUUUAAUUUUGUGUAUUUUUGUGUUUAUUAGGAAAAAUAUUAAUUCCAAACAAAUAAACGGAGGUCAAAUUUGGAUUCUGGAGGUCCGAAAAUCUUAAGAUCAGUCAAGAUCGGCUUAAAAUUGGGCUGUAAAAAAAAGUUGACUUUUCCUGUUGACCGAGCACUAAUUGGAUGAUGAAAUGAGCUUACAAUAGAUAUGAGUGCAUGGGAUAGCUGGCAAUCUAGACUAAAUCUCAACCGUUCAUGAUUUAAUGGCCAUUAUUGUGCCACGUGGCAAUGGUUGGUAAAGCAAGUUGGAGGAUCCGAAUCUUUGUAUUCGGGUCGACCCGAUCCACCCAUUAACCCGCCAAAUCUCAACCAUUCUUUGGGCAAAUCGAACGAGUCAAACGAUGCCACGUGUGAUGUUGACUUUUGAAGUUUGACCAGCCAUUGAAUCUUGAUCUAAAGGUUGUGAGGAGUACAUGCAUAAAGCCUAUGAUGGACCGCAAAGCACUGGAUUAUGAAUUUAUUUUUCUAUAAAUAGAGCCUCAUUUUUAUGUUUUAAUCAUCUCUCUACAACUCUCUUCUUCUCAAAUUCUCUCCAUCUCCUUGUAAUCUUGAUUUCUAGGUGUGUUUUUAAUAUUUUGUAUAAUUAUUUUUAUAAAUAAAAUUAGUUUUAUUUCUAAUUUUAGUUGUUUUUAUUACUUUUAAUUAUAAGUAAUUCAAUUUUACUACUUCUUUUUAUUUUAAUUAUGCUUAACUAAAUAAUAUUAGUUAGGGGAAGGUGAAACUCUUAGGAAAUAAAUAUGAUUUAAUCAAAUUCUAUUUUUAAUUUUAUAAAUUAAAUUAUUUUCUAUUUAAUUUUAUACAUGUUUUAUAUUUUGAAAUUUUGAUUUAUUGUAGACAAACAAAUAAAUUUGGCACAAUAAAUUUUUAAGAUCUUAUUAUAAGGCAUGGUGAAAUGGUAUUUUGACUUAUUGUAGACAAAUUAAAUUUUGGCACAAUAAAUACUUAAUCCAUCAUAAAAUUAAAGGGAAAAUAAUAAUAAUUUGUAUAAUUAAUCUUUUGGGUAAUAAAUCUAAAAAAAAUUGGCAAAAAGAAUUUAUUAAGUUUUAUUUACUUUUAAGAGUGGAUCCAUAACCCUAACUAGUUCAAUUCCAUAGUUUUAUUUAAAUUAAGUUGUUUAUAUUCAAGUUUUAAUUUCAAUUUUUAGAUAAAAUAAAAUAAACAAAUUAAAUUUUUUCUCUGUGGAUCGACCUCGGACUCACCGAAUUAUAAUAUAACAAGACACUCUUAUACUUGGAAGUUAAAUAUUACUUUUAAGUUAUGUCAAGUUUUUAGCGCCGUUGCCGGAGAAAAGUUUUUUUUUUUAUUUGGUUUGUUUUCCUGUUUUUUAUUUUUUCUCUUAUAUGUAAAAUUUCGUUUGCCCCCUUUUUCUUUUCUUAAAUUCGUUUUUGUCCCCAUAUCUAUCAUAAUUCUCGUUUCACCCCAACAAUUCCCGUUUCUAGCCCAAUCUUCUGGUAAUUACAUUCUAACCCCAACAUCUUUCAGUUAUUUCACUUUCAACCCAAAUUGCUCAAUUCUAAACUUUUAAAAAUUAUAGUUUGACCAUAAAAUUAAAAAUAAUUUGCAAUAGAAUCCCCAAAUGAAAUUCCUCGAAAUAAUCAAGACUUGAACAUACUUUGGAUAUAUUUGGACUUAUUUUGGACUUAAUUUGGACCAAACUAACUUUAACUACUAACUCUAAUUACUAACUCUUAACUUACUAACUGCUAACUCCUAACUUUUUUUAAUUUCAGUUAUUUAAUUUUCUGCAUUUAUUUUAUUUCGUAUUUAUUUAUUUAUUUAUUUUUGCUUUAUUGGUGGGUUUAACCAUUAAACUAACUACUGACUCUUAAUUUUUAUUUUCAGUUAUUUAAUUUUUAUUUUUUUUGCUUUAUUUUUUUUAAUUGGUGGGUUCAACCACCAUUUUUUUAUUUUGCAUUUAUUUUACUUUGUUGGUGGGUUCAACCACUAUUUUGUUCUGUUUCUUUUUCUUUCUUUUGCAUUUAUUUUAUACUUAAUUUAUUGUUAAUUGGUGGGUUCAACCACCAAAAUUGUUAUUUAAUUUUCUUUUGUACACUUAUAUUAUUUGCUUAUUUAUUUUAUUUUAUUUUAUUUUGUUAUCAAUUUGUGUAAAUAUUAUCUUUAUAACAUAACCAUUGCAUGAGACGUUGGUCUCGAUCUUCAAGUGGCAGGUUAAUUCGUAGAUCUCAGUCUCCACCACCAAUCAUGGAUGAGAAUCAAGGCGAAAACGUUUUGGGCGAACUUAAUCCUCAAAUUGAUCAGGGAGACAACCAAUCUCAACAUGAGCAUGAUCAAAAUCAACCAAGGACUCUGAGAGACUACAUGAAUCCAACCAGAACCGGAGCACCGUCGUGUAUAGUAUUUCCUCCAGAAUCAUCUCGAUUCAACUUUAAACUAGGUAUUAUCCAACUUUUACCAACAUUUCAUGGUUUAGAAUAUGAGAAUCCGUACUUGCAUCUAAGAGAUUUUGAGGAAGUUUGUAAUACAUACACGGACCAAAAUUGUAGCAUGAACAUAAUUAGAUUAAAGCUUUUUCCUUUUUCAUUAAAAGAUAAAGCUAAAACUUGGCUACAAAACCUUAGAUCAGGAUCAGUAAAAACUUGGAAUAACAUGCAAGAACAGUUUUUGAAAAAAUUCUUUCCACCUCAUAGAACAAAUUCUUUUAAAAGGCAAAUCACUUCUUUCACUCAAAAAAAUGGAGAAACAUUAUACCAAUGUUGGGAUAGGUUUAAAGAGUUGCUUAAUAUAUGCCCACAUCAUGGUUUUAAAACUUGGCGAUUGGUCACUUACUUCUACGAGGGCUUAAUACCCCAAAGUAGACAGGUUGUUGAAAUGAUGUGUAAUAAUGAAUUUAAGGAUAAAAAUCCUGAAGAUGCACUAGAUUACCUUGACCAAUUAGCUGAAAAUGCACAACAUUGGGAUACUAUUAGAACUUUUGAAUUGACAAAUAAGCAACAAUCAUCUCCAUCUAGUGGAGGAAUCCAUAACCUUAGGGAAGAUCAUGAUUUACAAGCAAAAUUUGCAUCCCUAGUUAGGAAAGUUGAAGCUUUGGAGCAUAAAAAGAGUGAUCAAGUAAAAUAUGUUCAAGAAAUUGCAUGUAACAUAUGUAAUUCGAAUGAUCAUUUCACUCAAGAGUGUCCCACUUUGCCUGCACUUAAAAAAUGUCCAAAUGAUCAAGCUAAUGUCAGUAACACUUUCAAUAAACCAAACCCAUAUUCACAGACUUAUAAUCCUGGUUGGAGAAAUCAUCCGAAUUUCAGUUGGAGGAAUAAUAAUAAUGCAAAAACUUCACAAGCACCACCUCCACAAAAUUUUUAAGAAAAAUCUGGAAGACACAAUGCAUUCAUUCAUCAGAAAGCAAGAUGUUAUUAACAAUCAAAAUGCACAAACUUUUUCUGAUUUGAAAGAUACUCUUGCUAAAAUUGCUUCUGCACUCACCAUUCAAGAAAAAGGAAAAUUUUCAGCCCAACCACAACUAAAUCUUAAAAUUCAACAAAAUCCACCCACAGACCAAGUCAAGUCAGUUAUAACUCUUCGUAGUGGUAAGGUUGUUGAUAGACCUAUGCCUGGACCUUAUGAAAAUGAUGAAAAUUCAAAGGGUAAGGAAGGACUAAAUGAACUUACACCUAGUGAAGAAAUAAUUGGUGUUCCACCUGAACCACCAUUUCCGCAUGCAUUGAAUAAACCAAGGAAAUCAAACCACUCUUCUGAAAUUUAUGAAAUCUUUAAGCAAGUGAAAGUUAACAUUCCUCUAUUAGAUGCAAUCAAGCAGGUUCCUUCAUAUGCCAAAUUUUUAAAGGACUUGUGCACUGUUAAGAGGAAAUUGAAGGUAAGAAAGAGUGCUUUCAUGGCCGAACAGGUAAGUACAAUUCUGUCUACUAAUAAUAAGUUGAAAUAUAAAGAUCCUGGUUGUCUUACCAUUUCUUGUAUUAUUGGUAACCACAUAAUUGAGCAUGCUUUACUAGAUCUUGGUGCUAGUGUUAUUUUGCUUCCAUAUUCAGUUUAUCUUCAACUUAAUCUUGGUGAGUUAAAAUCAACUUCAACUAAACUUUUGCUUGCCGAUAGAUCAGUUAAAGUACCAAAAGGAAUAGUGGAAGAUGUUUUAGUACAAGUUGAUAAAUUUAUUUACCUUGUGGAUUUUAUUGUCUUGAAAACUGAACCUGUUGUGAAUAAUUACAAACCAAUUCCUGUAAUUUUAGGUCGACCAUUUUUAGCAACUGCUAAUACUUUGAUUAAUUGUAGAAAUGGUUUAAUGAAUUUAUCCUUUGGGAAUAUGACUUUGGAAUUGAAUGUUUUCAACAUGUGCAGGCAACCUAAUGAAGAAAAUGAGAAUGAAGAUGAUACUGAUGAACAAAAGGAAUUGUUUGAAUCUUGUAUCAAAGAAAAUAUUCAAAAAGGGGAUUUUUCUGAACUUUCUAAUGUUUGUUUAGUUAAUUCAAUUGAGUCAAAUAAGCAACUUAAACUUGAUAUUUUUAUUAUAAAUUCGUUGCUUGAUUUUGUGCAGACUUCACAAAAUUAUGAUGACGAGCCAAAAUUUGAGGAGCUUGGAAGUAUUGAAAAGACAGAACAACAAAAACCUUUGCCUGAAGGAUUGAAAUAUGCUUUUCUUGGAGAAGAACAAACUUAUCAUGUUGUGAUUUCGUCUACUUUAACAAGCGACCAAGAAGGUAAAUUACUAACUAUUCUUAAAAAGUAUAAAAAUUCAAUUGGAUAAACUUUAAAUGAUAUUAAAGGCAUUAAUCCCUUAAUAUGCACACAUAGAAUUAAUUUGGAAGAAAAUGCUAAAACAUGUCAACAACCUCAAAGAAGAUUAAACCCACACAUGAAAGAGAUAGUCAAAACAGACGUCCUUUAAUUGCUUGAUGUGGGAAUUAUCUACCCUAUUUCUGAUAGUAAGUGGGUAAGUCCUACACAAGUAGUGCCUAAAAAGUCUGGAAUCACUGUUGUUAAAAAUGAAAAAGGUGAAUUAAUUCCAACACGAAUUACAUCUAGUUGGCGCAUGUGCAUUGAUUAUAGAAAAUUAAAUGAAGCCACUAGAAAAUAUCAUUUUCCAUUACCAUUCCUUGACCAAAUCUUAGAAAGAGUAGCAGGACAUCCCUACUACUGUUUUUUAUAUGGAUAUUCGGGCUAUUAUCAAAUUCUUAUAGCACUUGAGGACUAAGAAAAGACCACAUUUACAUGUCCAUUUGGAAUAUUUGUAUUUAAAAGAAUGUCAUUCAGGCUUUGUAAUGCUCCUGCAACAUUUCAAAAAUGUAUGUUAAGCAUUUUUUGUGAUAUGGUUGAACAUUGUUUAAAGGUCUUUAUGGAUGAUUUGACUGUGUUUGGGAAUUCUUUUGAUGAUUGCCUUGAUAAUUUGGAGAAAGUUUUAAAAAGAUGUGUUGAAAAAGAACUCGUGUUGAAUUGGGAAAAAUGUCACUACAUGGUUACUUCUGGAAUUGUUUUGGGUCAUGUUGUUUCUAUUAAAGAAAUUGAAGUUAAGAAAGCAAAAAUCGAAGUCAUAUCUAAAUUGCCAAAACCAGAAACAGUUAGAGAUGUGCGAUUCUUUUUAGGACAUGCAGGAUUUUGUAGGAGGUUUAUAAAAAAACUUUAGUGCCAUAUCUAAACCACUUUGUAACCUCUUAUUAAAAGAUGCACCAUUUGAAUGGAAUGAUGAUUGCCAAAAAUCUUUUGAAAAAAUAAUUUAUCUUUUAACAUCUGCACCUAUUAUGCAAUCUCCCGAUUGGUCUUUGCCAUUUGAAUUAAUGUGUGAUGCAAGUGAUUUUGCUGUUGGUGCUGUUUUAGGACAAAGAAUGGAUGGUAAGCCUUUUGUGAUUUAUUAUGCGAGUAAGACUUUGGAUAGUGCUCAAAUGAAUUAUUCUACAACUGAAAAAGAAUUACUUGCUGUGGUAUUUGCAUUAAACAAAUUUCGUUCAUAUUUGCUUGGCUCUAAAUCUGUUGUGUUUACUGACCACACUGCUAUGAGAUAUUUGAUGAGUAAACAUGAUGCCAAACCGAGACUAAUUCGUUGGAUUUUGUUACUACAAGAAUUUAACCUUACCAUCAAAGAUAAAAAGGGUGCUGAAAAUGUUGUUGCUGAUCAUCUAUCAAGACUCACAUCCGAAUUCUGCAAUGAUAUAACACCCAUAAAUGAUUCUUUCCCUGAUGAAUUUUUAUUUUCUGUUACUUCAAUGCCAUGGUAUGCUAAUAUUGUUAAUUUUCUUGUUACAGGUAAAAUGCCUUUGCAAUGGAAUGCUCAAGAGAAGAAGAAAUUUUUUGUUGAAGUAAAGAAAUUUUAUUGGGAUGACCCUUAUUUGUUCAAAUAUUGUCCAGAUCAAAUUUUUCGGCGAUGUAUUCCUGAUAAUGAGGUAAGUAGUGUCAUUAAUUUUUGUCAUUCUGAAGCAUGUGGUGGUCACUUUUCUUCAAGAAAAACUACUGCUAAAAUUUUACAGUGUGGAUUUUAUUGGCCUACAAUGUUUAAAGACACAUAUGAAUUCUGCAAAAGUUGCGAAAAAUGUCAAAAAUUGGGAUCAAUUACAAAAAGAAACAUGAUGCCCUUAAAUCCCAUACUUGAAAUUGAAAUAUUUGACUGUUGGGGAAUUAAUUUCAUGGGUCCAUUUCCAUCAUCUUUUGGAUUUGUGUAUGUAUUAGUUGCAGUUGAUUAUGUCUCAAAAUGGAUUGAAGUAAUUUCUUGUCGAAAUAAUGAUAGUAAAACUGUGAUUAAAUUUUUAAGAGAAAACAUUUUAAGUCGAUUUGGAAUCCCUCGAGCUAUUAUCAGUGAUGGAGGUAAGCAUUUUUGUAAUAAGUCAUUUGAGUCUUUAAUGAAGAAAUAUGGAAUUACAUAUAAAAUUGCUACCCCUUAUCAUCCUCAAACAAAUGGUCAAGUUGAAUUAGCAAAUAGGGAGAUAAAACAAAUUUUGGAAAAAACGGUUAACCCAAACCGAAAAGAUUGGUCUCUUAGACUUAAUGAUGCACUUUGGGCUUACCGUACUGCAUUUAAAACAUCAUUAGGAAUGUCACCCUAUCGGUUAGUUUUUGGUAAACCUUGUCAUUUACCUGUUGAACUUGAACAUAAAUCACUUUGGGCUAUUAAAGCUUUUAAUUCAAAUUUGGAUGAUGCUGGUAAUGUGCGAAAAUUGCAAUUGAAUGAACUUGAGGAAUUAAGGAAUGAUGCAUAUGAAAAUUCAAGAAUUAUUAAGGCAAGAACAAAAGCAUUUCAUGAUAAAAGAUUUUUUCGAAAAACAUUUGAGAUUGGUCAAAAAGUGUUGCUUUAUAAUUAUCGUCUUCAUUUAUUUCCAGGGAAGUUAAAGUCAAAAUGGAGUGGCCCAUUUGUUGUAAAAAAUGUAUAUUCACAUGGGGUCAUAGAAAUUGAGAAUCCAAAGAAUGGUGUCACAUUUAAAGUUAAUGGUCAAAGAUUAAAAUCAUACCUGGAACAUCACAUAUGUGACGAGGAACAUCACCUAUGUGACGAGGACACCGAAAUUAAUUUGGGUGACCCACCUGUUCUUGAUUAAGUCUUUAAUGAUUUAUUUUAUUUUAUUUUUAUUUUUUUGUUUUACUAUUAUUUUACCGUUUCAUUGUUUGAUUUUUUUUCUUUUUCUCUAGAUUGAUGCACUGUACAUAGUUUUUUUUAACAUUUUUUUUCUUGUGUAAGCGUGUUUGUUUGACAGUUGUACAUUCUUUCAUCAAUUUUCAUUUUAAAUCAUGAGCACCUCAAUGAGAAAAUUCUUGUUUGCACAUCUUAAAAGAUUUAUGCGUGUAAAAUUUCACUUAAGAGGCUUGAUACAAGCUGUAAAUCACAUCCACUUUGGGAUCUGCAACCACCAAAAUUCGUGUCCUAUGUUGAGGAUCUAGAGGGACAACUCAGAACAGUAGAGAGUGGCAUAUAUGAAUUUCAAAUGGAGCUUGAGGUUAACUCAAUGAGAGGACGAAUGUAAGUUCAUUUUCCUUUUAUAUUGUGUGCUUCUUUUUGCUCGCUUUCACACUUGAUUUGAUUUUGCAGAUUUGAUUUUGGUGUGUUUUGAUUUAUUUUCCCGUAUAAAUGGCGGAUAAUGGUACUCCAUGACUUCUUAAGUCGGUAUCUUCAGUUUCCCACAAUAACUGAAACCCCAAAAUCAAACAUGGAAGAAAUACAACAUAAACUCCAUAAGCAUUUUCCCUGCCUCCCUCAGAAUGCCCUUAGGAAAAUUUACAAAGCUCGUUGUGAACGACUGCGUUUGUUAAUGAUCAAUGGCAUUCCUUCUGACAUUCGUUGGUUAAUUGAAGCAAAGGUCCGAUUAGUUGGUGAGUUUUCUGGUCCAUUUGUUUCUUACAUGCCUGGUUUUGGUAAAAGUACGUUUGCUAAAAAAAGGAGAGCUAAACGACUUGGCUCAAAAUGUCAUAAUUGUGUAAGACUUGGUUGCAAACGACCAGAUUGUAAAUCUUUAGGAAUGGUUUCUGAUACUCGUGAAGAUAAAAUUAAAUUUGUUAAAGAUGGCAUGAGUAAAGAAUCGUUGGAUGAUAUCUUACGAUCUCUUGAGACGCAUCGAAGCGGAUUUGUGCAACGUGAGAUUUAUAAUUUGUGGAUACUAUUCUAAAAACAAAGUGCACAGUUUAGUCUUGGGAAUCUGACUCAAAAAGACCCUGUUUGCCAGUUUAUAAGAAAACUGGAUGGGAAACCGAUCCUCGACCCAUAGAGGGCGUUCAAGCUGUUACUGGACGUAAAACCAGAGGAAGAUGUGAGCCACAAUCACAACUACCAGUAAAUAUCCUUUCACUUCACUGUUAUUUUACUUUACUGUUAUUUUAUCAUUUGCAUUAUUGCAUUUAGCGAUGUGAUUUGUAUUUAAUAAAUAUUUGGUUUCUUUUGCUGUUUGCUUUUUCUAUCAUUAUUUUCUUUUUACUGUUUGUUUUUGAAUUAUUGAGCCACGAGCUUUACUCGUCAUUUGACAAAUAUGCCAACCCAUUUACAGCUGUUUCUCAUUAUUUAUGUUACCAAUAUCUUUAAAUAUGAGGUCAUUUUUCAAACACUCACAACUUGUUUUUGAAAAAUUAGUCCAAUGGCAGCAUCUUCGAGUAAACAAUUCAUAAAUAUUUGUAUGCUUUCUGGGUUUCACUAUGGAAAGUACAAAGAGUUCGUUCAGGCAGCUGUAGAUCUUGGUCAUGUCAUAGCAGAGAGAAAACUGCAUCUUGUAUAUGGAGGAGGUGAACGAGGGUUAUCAAGACUUGUCUCAGAAGCCGUUUUUACUAGAGGAAGCCAAGUACUAGGCAUUAUUCCAAAAGCCAUGAAACCGCUAGUGUGCAUGUCUGGCCCACCAAUUGGAGAAGAAUUAGUGGUAUCAAGUAUGCAAGAGAGAAUAUCUGAAAUGAUGAAUCAUGCUGAUGCUUUUAUUUUCUUGCCAGGAGAUCUUGCAACUUUUGAGGCACUAAUUACAUUUGCAUCUUGGGCCCACUUAAACAUUCAUCAAAAACCCAUCGGUUUGUUAAAUGUUAAUAAUUUUUAUGACGGCUUGCUAACUUUUAUUAAGCAUGCAAUAAAGAAUCAUUUUGUUCCACAUUCUGUAAAAAAACUCUUUAUCUCUGCUUCUACUGCUAAUGAGUUACUUGAUCUUUUACAAACUUAUACACCAGAGCCAGAUCCAAAGACUUUUGUACUGAAUUGGUCGACUAAUUAUGGUAGUGGUAACAGUAGCAGUAAUAAGAAGUGCGAUUUAGAUUUAACUCUCCGUCUGUAAAUAUUUUCUGUUGUAGUGUUCAUGUGCUGUCUUCUAAACUCUUUCUCUUUCCUUUUAAAACAUUGAGGACAAUGUCUUUUUCAGGUUGGGGGGAGGGAAUAGUUGAUAAUUGUGGAAUGUCUUAGUCCUGGUGAUGUGUUUACAAAAAAAAAAAACAAACAAACAAACAAAAUUUUUUUUUUCUGUAAAGACUAACUUAGGACAAAUUUGAGUUGAAGAUGGCAGGAUAUAGAGAAUGUAGUACCUCUAGAAAUACAUCUUCUUAAUCUUAAGGGUGUUGUUAAAAAAAAUUUUGACUUUUUCUUCAUCUUUGUUAUCUGCUUUUGAGCUUCUGCAUCAAGUUCAGGUGAGAUCUCUUCUUCUUCUUCUUUUAUUAUUCUCUUUUAUUAUUAUUAUUAUUAUUUUUUUGCAUAUUUGUAAAAUUAUAAAAUGUUAAGAUAAUGUUUAGAUUAGGUUGUGGGGUGGGGAUAAUUGACGUAUAUUUUUAAAUAUGUGUGUUGUUUUUCUCUUUUCUCUUUUCUCUUUUCUUUUCUUUGUUAAAAAAAAAUAUUUUUGUUUUUUUGUCUAGGAUGGCCGUGUAAAGAGUCACGACUUUUGAGACGCAUCCUAAUAGUCUUGUUGUAUUAUAUUUUGAUUUUGAGAUUCAUAGUAAGUUGUUUUUGUUCCCUUUUCUUUGAAUUACACAAAUUUGUGAACUCUCCACUUGGUUAUUAAGUUAUUUAAUUGUUUACUCAUUUAACAGGUAUUAUUGAAUCAUUCUUCACACACACAUUAUGACACAUACUAGUGGGUUGUAAGUUAAAAUUUUAUAGCAUUUAGUUCUUUUUAUUUAUUAGGAAUAGUAUCUAAGGUAGUAGAAAGUGUAUAUUUCCAAAAACAAAAAACAAAAAAAGAAGAAAAAAAUGUUUUUAAUUUUGUUAUAUCUAGAAACCUGAGUAAUUAAGUCCGUAGGGGUGUUUCAACACCUAGUGCCCUAAGGUCAACUGGUCUGGGAGUCACUAGCCUAAAGCUCGCUACAAGGGUAAUAGAUAUAUUGUUUGUUUAUUAGAAACCCGAGUAAUUAAGUCUGUAGGGGUGCUUCAACACCUAGUGCCCUAAGACCAACUGGUCUGGGAGUCACUGACCUAAAGUUCACUACACGGGUUAGAAAUGUAAUAUUUAAAAAUAUAUAUAUGUGUGAAUAAUCUAUUGCCUAAAGAUAUAAUUUCUAAUGAAUUUUGGAACGAAAAUGUUGGUUUUUCUUUUAAUGAAGCCCCAUAAGUAUUGUGUUAAUUACUUGAGCACAAAAGAAGGUUUGAUGAUAUUCUGGAUAAUGAGUGAACAUCAAUGUGAUAAAGGAAUUUGGGAGAGUUCAUUUAUUUGGUAAUUUAGAGGAUAGAUGAACAACUAUUAACUUGCAUGUGAAUUUUAUAAAUCUUAAUUUAAUAUAACACUUUAAUUGCUAGAGGGCUAGCAAUAAGCUGGUUGGGGGGUGUGAUUAGUAUUAAAAAUUAUUUAAUUAUCAAGCGAUAAUAUGUUAUUUUAUGCUUAUGUUAUAAUUUAUAUUUGUGUUUAUGUAAUAUAUUAUGAAUUAUUAAUUAUGUUUUCAAUAUAUUUAAUUUUGUGUAUUUUUAUGUGUUUAUUAGGAAAAAUAUUAAUUUCACGUACUUCGAGGCUCCAAACAAAUAAACGGAGGUCAAAUUUGAAUUCCGGAGGUCCGAAAAGCUUAAGAUCAAUCAAGAUCGGCUUAAAAUUGGGCUUGUGUAAAAAAAAAUUGACUUUUCCUGUUGACUGAGCACUGAUUGGAUGAUGAAAUGAGCUUACAAUAGAUAUGAGUGCAUGGGAUAGCUGGCAAUCUUGACUAAAUCUCAACUGUUCAUGAUUCAAUGGCCAUUAUUGUGCCACGUGGCAAUGGUUGGUAAAGCAAGUUGGAGGAUCCGAAUCUUUGUAUUUGGGUCGACCCGAUCCACCCAUUAACCCGCCAAAUCUCAACCGUUCUUUGGGCAAAUCGGACGAGUCAAACGAUGCCACGUGUGAUGUUGACUUUCAAAGUUUGACCAGCCAUUGGAUCUUGAUCUAAAGGUUGUGAGGAGCAUAUGCAUGAAGCCUAUGAUGGACCGCAAAGCACUGGAUUAUGAAUUUAUUUUUCUAUAAAUAGAGCCUCAUUUUUAUGUUUUAAUCAUCUCUCUACAACUCUCUUCUUCUCAAAUUCUCUCCAUCUCCUUGUAAUCUUGAUUUCCAGGUGUGUUUUUAAUAUUUUGUAUAAUUAUUUUUAUAAAUAAAAUUAGUUUUAUUUCCAAUUUUAGUUGUUUUUAUUACUUUUAAUUAUAAGUAAUUCAAUUUUACUACUUCUUUUUAUUUUAAUUAUGCUUAACUAAAUAAUAUUAGUUAGGGGAAGGUGAAACUCUUAGGAAAUAAAUAUGAUUUAAUCAAAUUCUAUUUUUAAUUUUAUAAAUUAAAUUAUUUUCUAUUUAAUUUUAUACAUGUUUUAUAUUUUGAAAUUUUGAUUUAUUGUAGACAAACAAAUGAAUUUGGCACAAUAAAUUCUUAAGAUCUUAUUAUAAGGCAUGGUGAAAUGGUAUUUUGACUUAUUGUAGACAAAUUAAAUUUUGGCACAAUAAAUACUUAAUCCAUCAUAAAAUUAAAGGGAAAAUAAUAAUAAUUUGUAUAAUUAAUCUUUUGGGUAAUAAAUCUAAAAAAAAUUGGCAAAAAGAAUUUAUUAAGUUUUAUUUACUUCUAAGAGUGGAUCCAUAACCCUAACUAGUUCAAUUCCAUAGUUUUAUUUAAAUUAAGUUGUUUAUAUUCAAGUUUUAAUUUCAAUUUUUAGAUAAAAUAAAAUAAACAGAUUAAAUCUUUUCUCUGUGGAUCGACCUCGGACUCACCGAAUUAUAAUACAACAAGACACUCUUAUACUUGGGAGUUAAAUAUUACUUUUAAGUUGUUUCACUUGAUGAUGCACUUUGGGCAUAUAGGACCGCAUACAAAACUCCUAUCGGUAUGUCACCCUACAGGUUGGUAUAUGGUAAGCCUUGUCAUCUUCUUCCAGUGGAACUUGAACAUAAAGCAUGGUGGGCUGUGAAACAAUGUAACAUGGAACUGGACACCACCGGCCAACACAGAAAGCUCCAAUCGCAAGAAUUAGAGGAAAUUCGAAAUGAUGCCUAUGAGAGUUCAUGAAUCUAUAAGGAAAAGACUAAGGUUUUUCAUGAUAAGCAAAUCUUGAGAAAGAAUUUUAAAGUUGGACAGAAAGUUUUGCUAUUCCAUUCUCACCUUAAGUUGUUUCCAGGUAAGUUAGGUUCUCGAUGGGUUGGGCCUUUUGUUGUUAUUAAUGUUUUUCAUCAUGGUGCAGUUGAGAUCAGGAGCUUAAAGACAGGUAAAGAGUUCAAAGUUAAUGGUCAUAGGUUGAAGCCUUACUAUGAAAAUUUUCAAACACUCUAUGUAGAGGAGGCUCCACUUUAUGAACCUGCCUACGUUGAUAAGUGAAACUUGAGAACCAUGUCAGGCUGAGGACAAUAAACCAAGCGCUUAUUGGGAGGAAACCCAAUGGCUGGAGAAAAGAUUUUGAGAGCACGCCAUAACAGAUUUGAUCUUUCUCCCUCUCAUUCUCAUUUACUUUACCUACGUUGUGUUGAAUUUUGUUUGUUUUUGUUUGUGUGUCUCAUCUCAUUUCCCCAUGUUUGAUUCUGUCUUUUGUUAGCUUAGGCUUACAUUGAGGACAAUGUAAGAAUUAAGUGUGGGGGGUGGAUUUCGAACUUAGUUUUUGUUGCUUCGUCUUUUUCUUUUAAAAAAAAACAUUGUUUUGAAUAUUAGCCAGUGAUAAGAAUUUGAUUGACAAUGAAUAUGGUUCUUAGAAAGGGUUGAAUAUUACCUUAGUUUAUACUUGAUUCUUGUGUUGAUUUCCUCUUAAUUGAGAUUCUUUAAACCAUGAGCACUAAUAUCAAUUCUUUCAUAAUUUUGACUUAGAAUUUGAGAUUGACGCAGUCUGAGUUGAGAAUUUUAGAUUGAGUAAAUGAUUAUUUGUCUUGAUUCUUAUCUCCACAAUACAAUGUAGUAUACACAGGCACCAUAGUCAAAAAUAGCUACCUAUAACCCUUAAGAGUGAAGCUAUCCUUGAGUAAUUUGGGCCUAUGUACCACCAAUAUGUAGAGGAUAAUCUACCAUGAGAAGAAGGCUACCUUAAGGGGUAGAGUGAAAGCUCCUAACUAAAAAAAAAAUUAAAAAAAAUUAAAAAUAAAAAAAGAACUUCAAAGAAAAUGCACACAAAUGCCUGUAAAAGAAGAAAAAAAAAAUUGGAGAUCAAGAUGAUAAGAUUAGUUUGACCUACUCUUUUCUUUGUUCGAGGCAAAGGCUGUUGACAUUGAAGAUUUUGGGAAUGAAUUUUAAUUUAAUUGAUUCACACACACACUAUGAGAAUCAAAAGAGAGAUAGGAUUGACUAUUGAAUUAAAGUUAGAACUUUGAUAAUAUUUGAAAUUUUCUUUGAACUAUAUGACUUAUACAAUCUUUGAGGCUAUUUUUAUUCUAAAUUCUUUUGUUCUUUGUUCUAAAAAAAAAAUUGUAAUGAUGUUUGUGGGUAUCAUCGCUGAAGCCCUCACGAGACUAUAACUCGUCCACUAGGGCCGCCUAGGGGUUUAAAAGCUUGUUGCAUACGCUAAAUGCAAUCGUGAUUUCCUACGAAAGUGGACCAGUUUAGGUUUUCUUUUUAUUUUUGUUCUAGGUUUGCUCGAGGACGAGCAAAGAGUAAGUGUGGGGGAAUUUGAUAAGUGUAUAUUUUUCAUAUAUUUUUGAUUAAUUUCUCUGUCUUUUUCUUGUUUUGAUCUUAAAUAUUCUAGUUAUUUUAGUUAAAUUUUAAUUGAAUAGGGAAUUAAUUAAUAUACAUAUUUUACCCUUUUAUUAUAUAUUUACUAGUUAUUUUUAUUUCUUAUUUUUAAUUAAUUGUAUUAUUUUAUUGAAUAGAGAAUUAAUUGGAGAUUGUGGAUAAAAAAGGCAUGAAGAAAUUCAAAUUCAGAGGGAAUAAAGAUUAAAUUGGAAGACAAAAAUACAGUCAAGAAUUGAUAGAACCGAGUGGAAGAAAUCAAAGCAAUUAAUCCAAUUGAGAAAUGUUGAAUAAUUAAAAGAUUUAAUUUUUCCAAUUGGCAAUUGGAGUGCACGUGCAUGGCAUUGCAAAAGUGGAAAGCAAUUUAAUCGGGCCCGCAAUUGACUUUCAAAAGUUAGAAUUAAUGGCUUUUGGUGGCAUUAAAUUGGAAAAGGAUUUCAAUUAGAAUUGAAAAAGGAUUUCUUUAUUCUUGUUGGAGAAGAAUUCGGUCAACUAGCAUUAUAAAAGGGGAGCUGCUGGAUGGAAACGGAGGAGGGCAGAUGCAAUUCGGCAGCAAGAGGAAAAUCAAUAGCCGCAAGAAGAAGAAAAAAUCAGCAGCUAGAAUUCAAUUGAAGAAAAAGGCAGCCACUUGAAUUAAUCUCCAUGAUUGGUUUUGUCAAUUCUCUUAUUCCCAAAUCAAUUAUGUUAUGCUAGAUUUUUAUUUAGUUGAGGGUGAAUUCAAAACCCUAAACAUGCUAUGCAAUUAAAUUUAAAUUCUAUCAUUCAAUUUAUUUAAUUGAGAUUGUUUAUGUUCUUCUAUAAUUAAUGUUCAUGGUUUAUUCUUGUUUUAUUUGAGUGGCCAAUUAGAUAGGACUUGAAUAAAUUUUAUUACUAGAUUAAAAUUCUUGAUCCGUAAUUGUCUUGAUAUUUUAAUCAUUAGUAGCAGGUUGGAAUCAGUGAUUUUGAUUGAAGAACAUAACUUAGGUUAAAUAAUCCGAGCUUGUGUGUUUAUUGCCUAAAUCAACCUAAUAUCUUUCUUUGUUUAAUGCUUCCAUUAUCUUAAAUUUAAAGAGCUUGUUUUAAAUUAUUUAAUGGUUAGAGAUUAGGUGAAGAGCUUGUUUUGCCUAACAACACACUAAGGAAAGAUUGAGACUAACAGAGCUUAUUGUUGUCUACGGUUGAUAGUUUCAAUAUAAAUUGAUAAUAGAAUUGAUAUAUUAUGUGCAUGUUUGGUGGUGGCAAAUGAUCCUUUAACCAAAGUUUUCAUCAUUAUUAUUUCUUUCUCCUUUAAUUAGAGUUUUUUUAUUAAAUUCUUGUUCGUAGUUUUAAUUUCUUUACUUCUUACUAUUUAGUUAAAAAUUCAUAAACCCCCUUUUUAUUUAUAAUUGGCAUUUUCUUUAGUUAGAUUAAUUUAUAUUAUUAUUACUCUUAUUAUUACUACUAUUAUUUUAUUUCAAAUAUUGCUUUAGAAUUAAUAAUAAAUAUAACUAGCAUAGUCUCUGUGGGAUCGAUCCUUACUCGCUCUGUACUAAUUAUUUAUAUUAUUGGUAAGGUUUUAAAUUUGGUGCACCUUAACGACACUACCAGUGAAACUGAUAUCCCAAUGCUGGUGGUAUAUGAACGCCUGCCAGACUUUUGUUAUUGCUGGGGAAUUAUUGAACAUCAAUACAAGGAGUGUGGCAAGUAUAAAGACCAACAAAGAGAAGAUCUACCAUAUGGGAGUUGGAUGAAAGCAAUUACGGUAGGGGGGUUUACAAAGAGGAAUCGGAACAAGGAAAGGUGGAACUAUGGGGUUGUUAAAUCGGAUGAAAAAUCAGUAAGCUCAGAAAAUCACAGCUCCCCGCAACAGCAAAGGCAAAACCAAGAUAAUCUGAUAGGGGCAAACCAAGGAGCAUGCCAAGAAGGAUGUGAUAUGAGGAGUAGCUGAGCAACAAUUAAUGCGAGAAGUGAUACAGUCAGAGAAAAAAAAAGCAAACUGACGGCAACAAGCAAGCUGGGGAAACUGGCAAUGUAACAGUCCCUAGGAAAAUGGGCACACAAACGGGAAAUGGAAUUACAAAAGAGAGGGAAAAAAUGCAAAUAAGUCAUGAAGAGGAAGCUGAAAUAGACGAUGGGCCGGAAGUAUCUCAACUACAGCCCAACAAGAGGAAAUGGAAGAAAUUAACUAGAGAUCUAAGUGAAGGGGGGGAAAAAUUGAGUUACGAGCUCGAAAAAGGCCAAGGGUGAAAAGCUUUGGGCAAAGCCCAAGGAAAAAAACAAAGUUGUCUAGCCCCAAUAAGCUCGAGACUAAAAAUCUGGUGCAUGUCUCUCCAACAGCAAGACUCUAGCUGGGUUGGGAACCGUUGGUACUGGAAGAAGCGGUAGUCAUGGAAGCAAACAAUAUGGAGAUAUCGGCGGAGGCUGGUGGUCAGCCCUGUCGAAAGCUAUGAAUAUUCUCAGCUGGAAUGUUCGGGGUUUAGGGAAUCCUCGAGCAUUUCAAGCCUUAAGGAAAAUCCUCCAAUUGCAUGGUGCUCAGCUGGUGUUUUUUUCUGAAACAAAGGUAUCAACCAUGCAAAUGAAUGUGAUUGCAAAUAAAAUGAGUUUUAAGAAUUGCUUUGCGGUGAACUGUAAUUGAAGAGGAGGAGGAAUAGCAAUGCUCUGGAAGUCAGAUACUGGGGUGCAAAUCAAUUCAUACAACCAGCACCAUAUUGAUGCCGAAACUCAAAUGCCAAAUGGAAAGCGAAUGUGAGUUACAGGAGUGUACGGACAUCUAGAAACAAGACAGAAAAAACACACUUUGAUGCUCCUCAGGCGGCUGGCGGGUUUAUCUUCUAGCCCUUGGUUGUGUUGUGGAGAUUUUAAUAAAAUUUUACAUCCGGAUGAGAAAAGUGGUGGCAACGACAGGAACGUGAAUUUAAUCAAUGAUUUUAGAGAAGUUUUGAGAGAUUGUGGCUUAAAGGAUUUAGGGUAUCAGGGGUACGCUUUUACUUGGAAUAAUGGAAGAUAUGGGCAGGGAUUUGUGGAAAAAAGGUUGGAUAGAUUUGUUUGCAAUAAAGCUUGGAGUGAUAGAUUUGUGGACUGUGAAGCAAGCAACCUUGACACCUGGACUUCGGAUCAUUGUCCCGUGCUGAUGGCUGUUCAAGAGAGAAGUGGGGGCAUGAACCUUAGUGGUAAACAUUCCUUCUAUAAUCCAUUACGAGGAUAUGUGGAACCCGUAUGGCUUGUGCAAAGAGAUAAUCAAGGAGGAAUAGAGCUUGUAUAGCAAUUAGAACAGUGAAAAUCUAGUUCAAUCCUUUCGGAAAGCAACAAAAGAUUCGAUGGUUAGACUGAUGGUGUGGAGCAAAAUGGAGUUUAAAAAGUGGGACAAAAAAUUGGAGAAGUUAAAGAAUCAGCUGCGGGGGUUAAAACAAAGAAGAGUGCAAUAUGAAAAUGGUGAGGAAAUUUAGAAGGUGGAGAAGCAAAUCCAAAAUAUCCUCAUGGAUGAAGAAAUCUACUGGAAGCAGCGUUCAAGAGCAUAUUGGCUCAAGGAAUGGGACAAAAACACAAAAUUCUUUCAUGGCAAGGCUUCGGCUAAAAGGAAAAAAAAUAGAAUUUGGGGGAUUGAAGAUAAAUUCAGGAGAUGGAUUGAGAAGCCAAAAGAAGUGGAGCAUGAAUUUUGUAAUUAUUUCACCAACCUUUUUACAUCAACCCAGCCGAGACAAGAACAAAUUGCAGCAGCCUUGAAAGAAGUAACUCCGAGAGUUUCUGCCAGCAUGAAUGAGAGUUUGGAGGAACCGUUUACAGCCGAGGAAGUCUUGGAAGAUUUGAGUCAAAUGUGUCCAACGAAGGCUCCGGGACUGGAUGGUUUGCCAGCAGUGUUUUACCAAAAGCAUUGGCAUACGGUUAAGGAGGGAGUGCUCACCACUUGUCUGCAUAUCCUCAAUUCACAAGGUACCAUAGCCCCUCUAAAUCACACUUACAUUGCUUUGAUACCAAAAAUCGGGAAGCCUAGGAAAGUAACAAACUUCAGGCCUAUUAGUUUGUGCAAUGUUAUCUAUAGAAUUGUAGCUAAGUCAGUAGCCAAUAGAUUUAAACAAAUUUUGCACAAAAUCAUCUCUCCGUCGCAAAGUGCCUUCAUCCUCAAUAAGUUGAUCACUGGAAACAUCAUAGUUGGCUACGAAUGUUUGCACAAGAUAAGACAUUGUAAAGGAAAGCGAAAUGGUUUAAUUGCAUUAAAGCUUGAUGUUAGUAAAGCCUAUGAUAGAUUGGAAUGGAAUUUCCUUGAGCAAACUUUGAAACACAUAGGCUUCUCGCAUCAAUGGACUAGCUUGAUCAUGAGGUGCAUUAGUUCAGUCUCCUUCUCUGUUUUAAUAAAUGGCUUAGUGAAAGGCUUAAUUAAACCCCAAAGGAGCUUAAGACAAGGUUGCCCCCUAUCUCCGUAUUUGUUUAUUACAUGUGCAGAGGCUUUUUCUUCCUUGCUGCAGCAGGAUGAGCAACAACGGCUUAUCCACAGGCUAUCAUUUGGAAAAGAUUUGAAGAUUUCACACCUUUUAUUUGCUGAUGACAGCCUUGUCUUCAGCAGAGCUUCCAUGGCCGACUGUCGAAAUCUGAAGAUGAUCCUUGAGUGCCACUCCACAGCUUCCGGAAAAAUCUUUAAUUUCAAGCAAUCUUCUCUUUUUCUUAGUGGCAAUGUCCAGCAAGAUCAAGCUGCUACAAUUGGGAAUAUCUUUCAGUUCAAUAUUGUGUCGAGACAUGAAAAAUAUUUAGGCUUGCCGUCUAUGAUCGGGAGAAAGAGAAGUAGCUUCUUCAAUGACAUCAAGUUGAAGAUUUUCAACAAGAUUUCAAGCUGGCAGCAUAAAUUCUUUUAUUGUGGAGGGAAAUAAGUCUUAAUCAAAGCUGCUGUGCAAGCCAUCCCAGCCUAUGCAAUGAGCGUAUUUAAAAUUCCAAUGGGAGUUUGUGACUAUAUUCAAAGAAUGGUGGCAAAGUUCUGGUGGGGUUCCAAGAGGGAGAGGAGGAAUAUUCAUUGGGCAAAGUGGGAGAAGAUGAGUCAGGCCAAGUGUAAUGGAGGAAUGCGAUUUCAUGAUUUUUCAAGCUUCAACCAAGUCCUUCUAGCGAAGCAAGGCUGGAGGAUUCAGCAAUGUCCAAACUCGUUGGUGGCAAGGGUCCUGCAAGCCAAGUAUUUCCAGUCCAAAAAAUUUUUGGAUGUGAAGCUCGGCUCAAAUCCUUCAUAUAUUUGGAGAAGCAUUCUGUGGGGAAGACAAAUUAUUUGCUCGGGCUCUAGGUGGAGAGUUGGUAAUGGUAAGAAAAUUCAGAUUCACAAGACCAAUUGGAUUCCAAAGCCUUUAACUUUCAAGCUAGUGGUUAAGCCAACUUUGCCAUCUGAUACUAUGGUUUUUGAAUUAAUCAAUGAGGCAAACUGCUGGGAUGAGAAGAUGAUUCACGAGCAUUUCGACAAGAUGGAUGCUGAUUUAAUUACUAAGAUUCCUCUACCUAGAAGACUAAGGGAGGAUGAGCUUAUUUGGCAUUAUGGAAAGAAUGGCCAGUUCUCGGUUAAAAGUGGGUACCAGACAGCUCUCCAAAUAAAGUUUCCAGCCAUGCCUUCAAGCUCAGUGGCUUCAAAGAAUGAAUGUAAUAUUAUUUGGUCUCUUGCUUUGCCUCAAAAGAUCAGGAUUUUUGCCUGGAGGGCAGCCAAAAACCUCCUCCCCUCAGCUGAGAAUUUGUGGAAGAAAAAGAUAAUCCAGGAACCUAAUUGCCAAGUGUGUAAAAUGGGGAUGGAAAAUGUAUUUCAUGCUCUAGUGGCCUGCAAAUCGGCCAAGAAGGUGGGGAGGCUCAUCUAGUUUGAUGAUGAUAUUAAUGCAGCUUAUAGUCAAGAUAUUUUAAGUCUGCUGCAUGCCAUGAAAAGGAUGAGAAGUACGCUCCAAGGAUUGCAGACCUGGAUUGGCUCAACAACCAAAAAUAGUAUGACAGUCCUGAAAAAACAUAAAUAAAUUAAAAAGAAACUGCAUUAGUCUUAAUCGUCUCGAUGCAAUUCAGCCACGUAUUAAAAAAUUGUAAUACAAAUUCAACAAUCUCACAAAUUUCGUUCAAGAUUAUGAUGAAUAUAUUUAUCGAAUUUUUUUUUUUCAUGUUUGCGUCACUGCGAAAUAUAGACGCGUGAAACACGCCUACUCCACAACCCAUGCAAAAUCAUAUAUAUAUUGAUGAAAUUUCCUACUCUAGUUCCCUGUACACAGAAGGAUUCCUAGUGAGGUUUCGUAAGCUAUAUGGGUGUUAUUCCUAUUACGAACAGGAAACUCGAGUUCACAAGGAACUGAGAUUUCCUAUUUAGUUUACUUCUAUAAAUACAUAGCAGUAGCAAGAGACAGAUUGCUUAUAUAAAAAUAAAAAUUAGUUUCUGUCUUUAAACUCCCCAAACAAAUCCAUGAAGAGAAUCUUUCUGAUUGCGCUUUUUACUUUGUUGCUUUCUUCAUCUUCUUCAUUCGCUCAAACAACUCAAACAUGUACCAAUUACCGUUUCACCACCCACAACAACAAAUACGGUGCAUGCGUUGAUUUGCAAGCUUUAAAUUCUUUUGUCCACUGGAGCUAUGACGAAGCAACCGGCUCUGUCGACUUGGCCUAUCGUCAUGUAGGCAUGCAACCAACCAGAUGGAUUGCGUGGGCAAUAAACCCUACCGGUAAAGGCAUGGUCGGCUCUCAAUCUCUUGUAGCCUACCGUAACCCUAACGGAAUCUUGAAGGCAUACACAUCGCCGGUGAUGAGUUAUGGCACCAAAUUACAAGAGGGAAACUUGAGCUUUCAGGUUCCCAAGAUUUCAGCAGACUUUUCCAAUAACGAGAUGAUAAUAUACGCAACGAUAGUGCUUCCAAAGAACAUGACCACAGUGAGCCACGUGUGGCAAGAAGGUCCUGUACGUAGUGACAAUCACCUCGGCAUGCAUUCUCUAGGAGGCGACAAUGUCAAAUCAAUGGGUACUUUGGAUCUUCUUUCCGGGAAAGUUACGACUACCAAAGGAGGAACCUCGGGUACUCUUCAUUUCAAGCAGGUUCAUGGAAUCAUAAACGCGGCUAGUUGGGGCUUCUUGAUGCCAGUGGGUGCUAUUACUGCCAGGUACAUGAA